rnacentral:lncRNA from 1 species
ACCCUGUUUCGAGUUUGAAUGGAAGAGUACCAGAGUAUCCUGGUAGCGUGUCGACUAUGGAUCGUGGCGAAGCAAAUUUUAAGGAAAAUAUUGAGAGCAGAAGCAAAGUGGUUAGCAAUUUUAACUUCAUGCUGAUCACCAACACGACUGCCAACAGCUGAUGUUUCUGUUCUCUUUACUCUACUUGGAAGAGACAAGCCAGUAAUUUGCAGGUGUCGUGACUAGCGUGAUUAGUCAAGAAUUCGAUAUUCAUUUUGCUACCCCCUCAAUGAUCCAACCUCUGAUAUUUCUGCUCACUUUACUUGGAAAAGAUGUGUGGCUAAAAAUAAAAGGAAGAGGUCAAGAGUUUGACAAAGCCAGUGCUACUAGUCAAGAAUUCAACAUUCAUUUGGCUACCUCCUCAAUGAUCCUUUACCUUGUGUCAAAUUUUUUAAAUGCCCCUUGUGUCUAUUGACCCAAUUCACUCCUUCAAUUUUUUUUUUUCAUUUUUUGUGUCUUAACCAAAGAAAUUCAAAAUCUUUGUUUUCUUUAUAAUUAUCAAUUAUGGGAAGACAAUUAUCACACUAUCCCAAAUAACGUAGCUUGACAUAUUUGUAGUUCGAUGUAUUUUUGGAGGAAAGAUAGGGAGAUUAUUAUUUGACUCCUUUUAUUUGCUUCUACAAUUGGCCGCAAGGCUCUUCCAAGAACAUAUGCAAACUUUUGAUCAUAUACACUGAUAGCAUAUGUAUUAUUAAGUUGAAUAAAUGAUAAUUAUGUAUACUUUGAAUUAUAAGUUCAAAUUUUUACACAUAUUAUAGAUUUUUUUUUUGUAAUAAUAUAUAUUGUAUAUUAAUCAUAAUCAACUUUGCUCAAAAAGUACCUCUACAUUGCGCCAUAAUGUACUAGAUCUAAAUGUAAUAGUAUAUAUACUAUGAGCACAUAUAGAAUUUACUCUUACUUCUAAAUGAUUUUUUUUCCUGAGUUCGUUCAUUAAUAGCUAUUAUCAUAAUUAAUACGAAACACAUAUCCUUAUACUAUAUAAGAACGAGUUUAGGACUAAAUUUCAACCGCAGGGGUAAGGUUAUUUUGGGAAUGUUUGAAGAGUGAUUGGAACAUUAAAUACAAGUCAUUAUAACUUUAAUUUCAUUAUAAUUACUUAUAUAACCUUUCAGACAUUUAAGAUUAGGGGCAUGUUUGGUAUGUUACAAUUUUUGGUGCCAAGUUGAGUAUCAAGUACAACUAAAUAAAUCUUGUAUUUUGAUAGAAUUACAUAAAAGUCCUUUUAAUCAUUUAUUAUACUAACAUCCAAGCCUUCCAAUUUCCUGAAACCUUUCUCAUCCGUUAAGGAAUUAAUUGGAUGUUUACAUAAUUGGAUUUUAAUUACAAUUAAUUAACUUAAUUAUUAUCUGAACAAUCAUUAUCAUAUUUAUGUCCCCCAUGUUUAGCUGAUACCCUUUUUUCUUUUUCGGUUUCACCUCUUUGAUUUUAUUAUGGCUAUUAAAUAUUUGGUGGAAUGCAUAACUUUUCCUUUAAAUUGAGGUGAGUUCUUUAGCUUUGUUCUCUUCGAUUGUAGUUUUUUUUCCUGAUGAUUAGUUUAUUCAACAACUCCAUAUAAUUUGCUUUUUAAUAUUUCUAAUUCCAAAAACUAACUAAUUGUAUUGUUUUUCUUAGUAGAUCCCAGAGAUUCUGUCUUUGGUUAAAGUACAAUUUGAGAUAAUGUUGUCACUUUCUAAAAUAAUCAGAAAAGCAAUUUUAUCAUCCUUUUCUCCUCAACCAAGGUAUUAUCUCUUUAUUUAAGUCAAAUAAUCUUAUUUCUCAUGAACUUUCUCCUAUUAUUCUUGAUUCCAGGGAUCUGUUGACUACAUUCCAGCAGUUAUGGUUCAAGUAGUUAUUUUUUCAUGUAAUAUGAUUUGGAAUUCAGGUUGUGUUUAUUUUAAUUGGGAAUUUUAUGAUUGUAAAAUUUAUUAACUUAGAAUUUUGUACUUCAUUGAAACUGAAAAAGAAAAUUAAUCAUGCUACAUAGUACUAAGAUGUCAUUUGCACUCUAUUUACUUUCCAUGUUAUGAUCUCGUUCUUGUAUUAUACUGUUUAUAUAGUUUCAAAUACAAAAAAUUUGCUUUUUUAUGCUAUGUAAAGAAUUUGCAGUGAAACUUGAUGAGUUUAAAUGCUUUAGCUACAGCACCAUUUUGAUUGCAUUGUAUUAAUUUAUUUACUCAUAAUUGUAUGUUGUACAAUGAUAAAUAAUGUUUCUUGAUUUGAUUGAAGCAACUAUUAUCCAUAGUUCAAACGAGUCAAUUAAGUAGAAAUGUUAUAUUGGAUACUUACAUAAGUAAACAUUGGAAAAUAUCAUUAAGCAAUUUCUACCUAUAGUUUGCAAUUCGAAUUCAUAUGAGAAAUUUCUUCUGAUUUUACUUACCAUUUUCUACAAUUUCAAAUUUAGAAAUAUUAUUUGCACCAAUUUUCUAUAAUCAAGGUAGUUUCAAUUCAGAUCUUUAACAAUUACGCAGAUUUGAACUUAUUUAUGAGAUUAUAAAGAAAUUCCCCUAGCCAAAAACACCAAAUCUAAAUAGUUUCUACAAAACUUUAAAAAAAAUCACUUAAGUUUCUUAUCUAUCUAUCAUUUUUGAGCAUUAUUAUCUCUGUAAGAAACAUGUGAUUAAGUCGUAUUAUACCCAUCAAAUUAUAUAAAUAGUUAGUAAAAAAUAAAAUUAUUUUAGAUUAGAUUGGACGCAAAGUGAUUGAUGGAUCAACUUGACUUGAUAAUUCAGGUUGAGCUUAAGUCGAGGGAGAAAUCAGAAGCAUUGCUUGAGAGAUCUUUCACGAACAUAGAUAGAUUCGAGAGAUGAAGGAUCCAAUUGAUACUUUAAAAUGUUUUAUCAUCUUGGAUAAGUUUUAGAAGACACUUUUGGAUACUUUUCAAUUGCACUUCAAACAUUUUUACAUUUUCAAACUACCCUUAUCUUUGCAGUUGAAAUUCAAACAUAACCAUUGAUCGCAACGGAUUCUUAUAUAGUAUAAAGAUAAGGAUGUCUUAUUGCAUAUUAUUUUUAUUGACUCACUAUAUAACUUAUGAUUUUUCUAUUAAAAUCAUAUGAUAAAACCAUCAAACUUCAGUUUUUAUCCUACAAAAUAUUAAACAAUAAUUAUUAAUUAUCUUGAAUCACAAGCACACAAAUUCCGCGCAUCGCGCGGGCUGUCCCUCCCUAGUAUAGGUUAUAACAUGAUCAUAUGCUGAACUAAAACUAGUUGGAAUGAAAUAUCAGUUUUCAACGUUGCCUUUCUAGUAAUCGGUAGUAGGUACGAUGAAAAUUCAAAAUUGGCGACUGAUCUUUGUUCAAACGCCACAUUUACGCGUGAGAGCUUCAUUCUUCGGACGUACUACUACCAUGUGCUUGGUUGUUUAAAAAGGGGAAAAAAAAAAUUUUGACAGUCAUAGGAGUCAUAGGCACAUACAAAUAUCUAAAUUGUAAGUAUAAACUUUCUUCUAACCACCCGUCCAAAGGCUGGUGGUUACUACCAAAGCAUUAAAAGUUGGAUAGGAUGGGAGGCAAGGGUUCAAUUAUCACAUUAAAGUGAUUUUGUUUAAAAAAAAAUUCAGAUGGAUGAGUAGUGCACCUGUUUGAUUAGUGGUAGUUCAGUUCCCUCUGAAUUAUUCUUGGGUCUCCUUAGGUCCAUUCCCUCCCCCUAAUAUAGGCUAAAUUAGGUUAUACAACAGUUAUCGUUUCUGAAAAAAAGAUAUAAAUUUUCUUCUGAGGAUUUAUAAUACUGCAUGAAUUUCUUAAAUAAUAAUGAUAAUAAUAAUUAGAGACUGUGUAUAAUGUGUGCAUAGCUACAACUUAAUUAGACACUAUAGAUAUAGAACAACAUAUUUCCUUAAAAAAUAUAUGUACAUACACCUUCCAAAUAUAAAUACAUUAUACAUAUACCUUAUAUUUUCCUUAAAAAGGUAAUUAUACAGAAAAUUUAGUAUUACUUGUUUCUAAACAAAUAUAUAAUUAAAUUUAUUAUAAUAUAUGUAUUACCUUUAUAAAAUAUAAUUAAAUCAUUUUUAGGCUCGAAUUUGAGUUCAAGCUCAAAUUCACUCAUUUAGUUUAAUGAAACAAGAUUGAAUUCGAAUUUGAGCUCGAAUAUCAAUGCAAAUUAACCAAUCGAAUUGAGUAACAUUUAUAACUCAUUUAAUAUUUGAUCGAGUUCGAAUCCUAUUCGUAUAGGCUGAACACCAAAUAUUCUACUUGAUUUGCCUCAUUAUAAGAGUUCUACAAACCAUCAUAGUAUCCAAAUCAUGACCUUCAACUUGUUACUGCAUGUGCAUUUAUAUAAUUUAUGCUAAAUACAGCUAUAACUUCGGGGUAUAAAAAGAAAAAGAAACCUAGUAUUUCCUUCAUCAUUUCUUUUAAGAGAAAUGUUAAAAGCGCUUUCUUAUUUGCUGGUGGCAGUUCCCUCCCUUUGUUUUUACUCAUAUUAAAAAAAGGCCCCACUUUUCAUUUUAUUUUCAAAAUUAUACCAUUGCUAAAAUAUAAGUUCAAUGGAGGGAGGAUUUUUUUGUUUUGAUUAACAUAGUCAAAAGCUUUGGAAAGGUAGCAUAAAUAAGCAAGGAGUUCGAUUGACAUUCCACUUCUUUUAAUUGGAUAGUUAUCGUCUUCUUCUAAUUUUGGGAUGCUGCCGCGGUAUGUUUAUUAGUCAAAGAAAAGGUGUGGAAAGGCGGGGCUGAGUGAUUGUGGCCACAAAUGGUAGGGAGAGUGUCUUGGAUGGACACGUGUAAAGGGUUGUUGUGACCUGCAACCUGCGUUGAAGGGGAUUGUAACUGUAAAUGUGAAAUGUGGAGUGUAUAAAUUAAGCAACUUGGAAAGUGAGAGGGUCGCACGUGAAAGUAAGAUGUUAAGUGCCUAAAUUAAGCAACGUGCAAAGUAAGAGGGUCCUACGCAAAAGUAAGGGCAGGCAAAAGGGCGCGAAGCUUGGCGAAGAAGUUAAACACUGUAAGCAUAUAAAAUGAACAAUUUAAUAAAUUUAAGCAUUAAAUUUAUAAUGAAUAAAUUAUGGAUUCCAACCUCAGGUGUUAAUUUUAUAAUGAAUAAAUUAUUACUUUAUUUUAAAUAAAACCCGUAAAUCUGGUUUGUUAAAUUAUACCCAUAAUCAUUUAUUAUACAGGUAUAUUAUGAGUACUUACUAACUAAAGUACUAAGUUUUAAUCAUUAAUAAAACAUCUUAUCAUUAUUUCAAAUAAACUUCCUAAUACUACUUUGAGAUAAGUUUAAUGUAAAAAUUGUACGUGCAUUCCAAAAAAUGGUAAAUUUUGAUCCUUAAUCAUUUUUAUUGCCAUGUUAUUAGUAAGAAUUACUAUUUAUGUAUAAAAACUUACUGUUAUUUGAACUAAAAUUACUCUUUUAAAAGUAAGUUUGGGAUAUAAAGUAGUAAUCUAUUUAUUUAAAAAUUAAGUUUAAUAUUUAUUCAAAUUUACCUUUUGAGGUAUAAAAGUUACUAAUCUAUUACACUUAACUUACUAUUUUAGAUAGGAAACUUACUUCUAUAAUUUUAGAUGUUAUUCUAUUUAGGUGAAUAGGUCCAACAAUAAAUCAAAUGAUCGCUAAAAGUGCAACAACAUGUUAUAUUAGGUAAAAACUAUUUCGCUACCAUAACUAUCGUUUAGUAUCUAUAUGUAUUGCUAAGGGAGUUUUGGAUAAGGAGCUUCCAAAAUUGUCAAAAGUCUGAAUGCUAUUUUAAUAGAAUUUUACAUUUUUAUAAUUAAAAAAUAUUUAUCUCUUAACUAAUCAUGUAACCGCCCCUACAAAUCCUAUAAUCAUGCUCAUAUUUUUUCCACAUUUCCCUCGCGUUUUUUCCACUACCCAUAAAAUUCAAACUCCUAAACUUUAGCUAACGGAUAAUAACCAUCCCUGUAAAAUGAUAUCUGCAAAUUCCAAUACACAUCUCACAUUUAUUACUGACACUUAUCAUAUCACUUAUAGUAAUAACUAAUCGUUAAUUUAAGAAAUUCGCAACUAUGAAAGUCAAAUAUCCAAAAUUUAGGAGCCUGUUUAAAUUACAAUUUUCACAAUUCAACAUAUCUUAUUGUCAUAAUAUAUUUUACUCUCACAAUCAUUCACAAAUUAUAAAGGGAUUAAAAAUAAAUAGUUUUUUUAAUAAAAAAUUAAAAGGUAGUUAAUUCACACACACACACACACACACACACACAUAUAUAUAUAUUCUCAUAAUAUAAACUUAAAUUAUAAAAAAUUAGGAGGGCUAACUUUUUUUACACAAAUAUUUACACAAUAUGAAUUAAAAUUUUUAAAACUUUGGGAAGAAGCGACCUAUGGCCCCGAUUAGCCCCUAUUAGUUUGGGAAUGUUUGGAUAGCAGAUUUCUCCAAAUAAUAUUUUGCUUACAUCAUAAACACAUUUUUCAACCCACCUUUUUAUCUCACAUACAUCAUAUCACAAAAAGUGCUAUCGUAAUUAUUUCAAAUAAUAUUUUAAAUAACACUCUAUCCAAACAAAUUUCAAUAGCGUCUUAGUUCCAAACCUGCAAGAUUACAAAAGAAAAAAUAACUGAUCACAAAAUGAAUUUUACACUAUGGUGAUCCCACUCAAAUGUAGUUAUUUCACGCACACACGCAUACAUAUAUACUUAUAUAUAUACUCAUAAUAUAAACUAAAAUUAUAAUAAAUUUGGAUGGCCAGUUUUAUUUUACACAAAUAUUUAUAUAAUAUGAAUUAAAAUUUUUAAAACUUGGGGAGGAGGGCUAUGACCUCCAUUAGCCCCUAUUGGUUCCAUUAUUGAUUUCAAUGGCAUCUUAAUUUCAAACCUGCAAAAUUACAAAGAAAAACAAAUAACUGAUCACAAAGCGAAUCUCACACCAUAGUGAUCCCAAUGAAAUAUUUUAAAAAGAUUCAGCAAAUCACUUAAAAAAAAAUACAAGUCUUGCUGAACUUUUUUUGUAGUACGAAUUCUUCAAAAUUCAAUAGAAUUAAUUAAACCACCAUACUAAAAGUUGAUUGGUGUAAAAAAUGUUCGCACCUAUGUACAAGAUUAUCAAUCGAAUGCAUAAUGUGGUAAGUAUUUCAUUUUAAAAUAAAAAAAUGCAAUUAUAUUUUUUCUAUCCAUAUAUCAUUCAUUUUCUAAUAUAAAUUAUUAUUAUUAUUAUUUUAAGAUGCAUCUUCCCCAAAAACACAAUUCUUGAAUGAUUUACAAUUUUUGUCAUACUUUGAACUAUUGUUAGACAAAUCUUAAAUUUUAAUUAUGUUGGUAUAAUUUUUUAAACUUUUUUUAAAUUAAAAUGGUAUAAUCUUUUAAUUUAUUUUAACAAUGUAAGCACUGUGCGUAGCAAGCUGUCCUUGUAUGACCGAGCCUGAGAGUUUAAGCAUGUUUUGGUUGAAUUUUAUAAUUCAAAAUUUUGGGUUUGGAGGGAAUAGGUUAUGCCACGCCCCAUUUUUCGCGAUGGAAAAAUAAAAGAGAUGUUUAUAAAAGAUGUGAUUUUAUUUUAAAACAAGUAAAAAAGGACCUAAAAUGGGACUUUGAAAAAUGCGACAAUUUGGGUCCAAAAUUUAGUCUAAAAGGAUUUUUAAGAAAAAGAGGAGUCGCCACUUAGUAUUGAGUUGGGGUGUAUCAAGUCACCAAAAAUACUUUUUGAUAAGAAUAAAAUAAAACCCUUUUCGACAACUCCAGAUUUUUGAAAAACAAGAGAAAUGGGUUCGGCAGUCACGGUUGAAAAAAGGGAAGACAAAGGUUCGAUUAAUUCAAACCUAAGGCACCCUUUCAAUCUAGUCUAAGCUAGUUGCGAGGUUUAGUCAGAAAUAAAAAUGUGCAUGAAAAUGUAAUAAACACACAAAAAAUGAAUCUAGCGCAAGUCGACCUAAAGGUCUAGCAUUGGACUAGCGCCAUUUGUAAAAAAACCUUACUAGCGUUGGACUAGCAAGUAAAAAGAGGAGAAGCCAUAACUAGCGUUGGACUAGUGUGGUGACGUCAUGCAUUAAUAGUACAUAGUAAAACAAAUAAAGCAUAAAUUAAAACAAAUAAACACAUAAAAGCACGUAGCACAUAACACGUAAACAAUAUAUCUAGAUGCAAAAAUCAUAAGUAAAGCGGAUAAAGCUAUAACACAUAAGCCACAUAAACACACAACCUAUCUAUUACAUCGGGGAGCCUAAUUACAAUCUAAAAGGAGAAAAUAUAAUAAAAUAAAUCUAGUUAUCCUAUCUAUUACAUUUUUGAGGUAUUUAAAUGCCUCUCAAAUAAUUAUAAAAAUUAACUAAGCACGUGUAAGGAAAUUUGGUGAACAUUUAAAUCAAACAAAUAAAGCAUAUAAAAAAUAUAUAACACAUAGGAACACAUAGGAGCACAUAAGGCACAUAAUUGACAUUGAAAUAAUAAUAAUAGGGAUACCUCCUUUUGAAGUGGUGAUUAAAUGGAGUCGAAUUGUCCUAUUUAUACUCAAAAUGAACAAAAGAAUCAUGACACCAAUUUAAUUGAAAAUAAUAAUAACAAAAAUACUAAAUUCACACUAAUAUGUCAAACGUAAAGAAUUUAAGAACAUUUAAAAAUUACAAGUUAAGUAUAUUCAAAAGUAGCAUAAUUAGCUAUUAAAGGAAAGAAACAAUCAUAAUAAAAAGAGUUAAAAUUCACUAAGGAUUGAAUUGCAAAAAUUGAAAACUUUUGGGGACAAAAAUUAUAUUUUUCAAAGUUUAGGGGUCAAAAUUAAAUAAAAGAUAAAAUUCAAGGAUCAAAGUGUAAUUAAUUUAAGGACCUAAAUGAAAUAGAUUUAAAAUGUUAUGAGCCGUAGUAAAAUUACUCCAAAGAUUAGGGGCUAAAGUACAAAUUUUGCUUUUGAUUUGGACAAGAAAAGGCCAUGGGCCAUCAUUUUUAUUUAUUUGGGCCGAAAACUAUUUAAACAGCUGAAACCCAAAAGAAAUAAGCAGUCCAGUCCAUCAUUUAUCAAUCAAGCCCGACUAAAAACAUGCAUGGGUUCUGACCUUCUAGCCCAACUGAAACCCAAAGAAAUAAACCUAAAUCCAUUUCCAAAAACCAACCAAAAACUAACUCUUGGCCCAACCGAAAAUAAAAAACAUUAGCCCAUUUCGAUUUCUUUUCUUUCUUUUCUUUUUUCCUUCUCUUCUCCUUCCUCUCGUUUCUUCUUUUCCUUCUCCGGCAGGGUGAAGCUUCUAGCAGCCAUGGCAGCCGUGCCGGCGGUCGCUGGCAAAUUUUUCCGGUCACGAAAAAUUAUCAAAAUACAUAUCCCAACUCGAUUUUUCGCGUAGAUUCCAUUUCCGGAGUUAGUUUUUACCAAAAACGACCCGAAAGUGUCCAAAAUGUCAAAAAAACAGUCCAGUUUUUAUUUUUUUUUCCAAUCACCCUAUCUUUCACCAAAAAUCAUGAAAAUUAUACUACAACACUCUUACAACUCCUACAAUACAAAUAUGAUUUAAUUUCGACAAGAAAACAACAUAAAAGGGCUAAAAUAAAGCAAAACAGUCCCCUGAGAUUCUUUUUUUUCAUUUUGGCAUUUUUUCAAACGGUUAAUAUGCAUGCAUAAGACACAUUUUCUUUUCCUCAAUCUAGUUCAUGCCAUUUCCCAAAUUUCAGCAACACAACAAUUACAAUAAAAAGCCAGCAAACAAGAGAAAUUAAUAUACAACAACAACAAUAAAACCAGCAAAAGCAGGAGAAAUUGGGCAUUGAAACAUGGAUGUAAAAAUAUGAUAAAAAAAAAACUGGAAAUACCUCUGUAGGUGGUAGUCCCUUGACCAAGAUGUUUGACACAAUUUCCAAGCCUUGAGCGUAUCUUCCUAGCUCCCUUUGGUGAUUGCUUUGUGUGUGGAUGUGUUAGAAGAAAUUGAGAGAGCGAGAGGGAGAAAGAGCCGAGACAAAAAAUUGGAGAGCUUCUUGUUUUUUUUUUUUGUCUGUCUCAAACCAAAAAAAAAAAAAGAAGCCGAUAGCUGUAUUCUAGAACCCAAAAGUGGAGUUGGCGUUUUUUUUUUCUUUCGUGUCUUGUCUUCUGUGUGAGAGAGCUGAGAGAAGAGAUUUGAGCCAAAAAGGUGGAGUUUGAGUGUUAAGUUGGGCCAAAAUGAUGGUUUUUUCUUCCAAAUGACAAGAAAGAUCAAUGCAAAAAAUAUGAUGAAUUUUUACCAAAAUGAGAAGAAAUGUUAAUAAGGAUGGAGUGUAAAAAUGGGUUAAUAGUGCUUUUGGUGAAGCAAAAUGAUUAGGAUGAUUUUUUUUUUAAAUUUUCUUAAUUUUCUUUCUUUUUUUUGUUUUGUUUUGCUUUUUUUUGUUUUUUUCUUUUCCUAAACAAACCUGCAAAAAUUAGAAAAAUGCACAUUAAAAUACAAGAAAAUAAAUAAUUCACUAAAUAGAAAAAAAUUCAAGAAAACAUCAAAAUUUGACAAAAAUUUGGUGUCUACAGCUUGCCCCUCUUUGUCUAGAGUUUCAAAGAAACUCAAGACAAAGACGUAGACACCAAAUUGCUUCCCUGUCUCAUCUCGCUGCACAUGCGCUAAAAUAAUAAACCAAUGCUUGGCUAUAAUUAUUGAGCAAAAUGAUACAAUAACAUUGCAGAAAAUGUGACCGAACUCACGUAGAGUUGCCUACGUAUCCCACCAUGGGAAUUAGGUCAAACGUAGUUCGAAUACAAGUGAACCACAAUGAAACGAGUGCAUUGACCAUCUGUGAUCUUUGCAAAGUCGAAGAAGUCUGAGCUCUCAGAACUUCUAAACAUGAAGCACAAGAUAACUGAGAAACCACAAUUAUUAACCAAAACAGUUAAGAAAAUUAUAUUGUCAUAAUUAGAAAAAGAUGCACGGAGGAACUCGGUUACGCUCCAACAGAAAAUUAAAUGUGAUUGUUUAGAAUGGCAGUAGAAGGGUGCGCGGCGGACGCAGAGACCUCACCAACAAGAUAUUAAAUUUGAUUUUUUUUUAAAAGAUGCGCGGAGGGACGCAGUUACGCUCCAACAGGAAAUUAAAUUAUCAAGAAGGGAGAUAGAAGGGUGCGCGGUGGACGCUGAGACUCACCAACAGAAAAUUAAAUUGUCAAGAAAGGGAUAGAAGGGUGCGCGGUGGACGCUGAAACUCACGAACAGAAAAUUAAAUUGUCAAGAAGGGGGAUAGAAGGGUGCGCGGUGGACGUUAAGACUCACAAACAGGAAAUUAAAUUUGAUUAGAACGGGAGAUAGAAUGGUGCGCGGUGGACGCUGAGACUCACUAAUAGGAAAUUAAAUUAUCAAGAAGGGGGAUAAAGGGUGCGUGGUGGACGCUGAGACUCACCAACAGAAAAUUAAAUUUGAUAAGAAUGGGAGAUAGAAGGGUGUGCGGUGGGCGCUGAGACUCACCAACAGAAAAUUAAAUUUGAUAAGAACGGGAGAUAGAAGGUGUGCGUGACUCACUAACAGGAAAUUAAAUUAUCAAGAAGGGGGAUAGAAGGGUGCGCGGUGGACGCUGAGACUCACCAACAGGAAAUUAAAUUUGAUAAGAAUGGGAGAUAGAAGGGUGCGCGGUGGCGCUGACACUCACCAACAGAAUUUCACGGCGCUGACACUCACCAACAGAAAAUUAAAUUUGAUAAGAACGGGAGAUAGAAGGGUGCGCGGUGGACGCUGAAACUCACCAACAGAAAAUUAAAUUUGAUAAGAACGGGAGAUAGAAGGGUGCACGGUGGACGCUGAGACUCACCAACAGAAAAUUAAAUUGCCAAGAAGGGGGAUAGAAGGGUGCGCGGUGGACGCUGAGACUCACCAACGGGAAAUUAAAUUGUCAAGAAAUAAUAGAUUGGUGGGAUAAGACUCAACCCCAACAAAAUAAAAAAAAAUGGUCAGCAGGAUAAAACCCAAAUCUGCCAAGAUUGGUGGGAUGCAACCCAAGCCCAACAAAGAUAAAAACGGUCAGUGGGAUAAAAUCCAAACCUGCCGUAAUGAUAAAAGAUACGUUAGUGGGUUGAAUCCCAUGCUAACGGAUAUGAAGAAAUAAAACACGCGUUAGUGAGUUGUACUCGAUGCUAACGGUGAUAAAGAUUAUGUUAGUGGGUUGGACCCGAUACUAAUGGUGAAAGAAGAUACGUUAGUGGGUUGAACCCAAUGCUAACGGAUAUGAAAAAUACGACACUCGUUAGUGAGUUGUACUCGAUGCUAACAGUGAUAAAAGAUAUGACACACGUUAUUGCAUGAAAAAGUUUUUGAAUACUUACCUAAAAAAUCAUUUCAAAAUUGACUCAGUUUGAAUCAAUUUUGUACAACCAAUCAUCUGCUUUGCAUUUUGGCAUUGUUGCUCAAGUUGGUGGAUUUGUAAUCUUCUUUUUUUUUUUCAAACUUUAGAAGAAAUGAAAGAAACACACAUAUUUUUUUUUGUUUUUUUUUUUUUUUGAAAAAAAUCAAAAGUGACGAAUUCUAAAACUUGAAGAAUACUAAUGACAACUCUCCCUUCAAGAGAUUUGAGAGGUACAUACAUAUGUCACUGUCCUCUCGAUUUUAAAAGACUUUUUUUUUCACAAAGCCGAUUUAAAAUGCAUUACCAAAAUUGGAGUUCAUUCCUUUUGAUAUUUACUUCAGUGUAAAUCAUGUUUAACGAAUGCCACAUUUUUCAUGCUUUCGAAAAAGUAAAAAGAGUGAUCAUAUGAUACCAAUACCAUGUGAUUCCUUGUGCUCCUUUUGGCCCUGAGAACCAUGCAAGCAUGAUCUUUCGAUGUCAAAACUGCUCCUCAAGAGUUGUGCUGCAACUUGUUUUGAAUCUUUUCAAUUUUCUAGCAUCAGUCAGCCAUACCUCAGUUUGUACCACAAAUCAACUUUUCUAACGACUAGAUUUGAAUGAAUGGCCAGUAUUUCAAGUGUCGGCAACCCGCUUUUCGUUCAUGAUUCUCUUAUGCUCCAAAAUCUCACCUUGAUGACCUUAACCUUUCGGAUUUUCACAAAGGUCACACCUUUUUAUUUUAUUUUGUUUUCAUUUUCUAUUGUUUUUUCUUUUUCUUCUUUUUUUUCUUUUUCAUCCUUCUCUUUUUUCUUUUUCUUUUUUUGUUCUUUUUUUUUCUUUUUUUCAUUUUUUUGAAGACACCCUUUCAGGUUUUCACCUAAUGAACAAAUCUUGUUAGCGACCUUUAUCAACUCAGAAAUGUAUUUAAAGAAAGGAUGGCAUCGGCGCGACAACCCUUCCCAUGUAAAAAUGGUAAAGGUAUAUUAACAUCAUUUGCCAUUUGAUUAAGUGAUUUUUAUUAGAAAUACCACUAAGGCGGAGGUCGAGACUUUAUGAUUUUUAUGAUGGGGUCAUGUGGGUGUAGAAAAAGUGUUAAGGCUUCAAAGCAAAAUCUUCAAAGAGGUUUCAAAAACCCUAAGACCGCAUUCUAUCAAUAUUUGCCCCAGUAUGAGGGUAUUAAAAUCGAAAAAAUUGUCCUAGUUUGGCUUUUGAAUCUUUGUUUUUUCUUUUUUCCUUUUUUUAUGACAAAUAGGAGAUAAAAAUUUACCCCAGUAUAGGGUUUGCAAUCUUUAGGGGGCUAUCAAACGAAUGAUUAAGUUAUUCUGAAGGUUCACAGGGAAAAAUCAGGGAUAAAAUGUUCAAAGAGAAAAGAAGAAGACCCGUCUUUAAUCCACCUUAAAUGGUAUCUCAAAAAGAAGAGUCACAUAAUCAGAUAAAGAAUUUUUUACACAUGUCUGAAUUGAUUGGCAGAGGAAAAACCUGUCCAUCCAGUUCUGUGAGAAUGGGUGUUCCUCCAGAUAGCACUCUUUGAACAGUAAAUGACCCUUGUCAAGUUGGGGCAAACUUUUCUUUAACCUCCUCUUGAAUCGGAAGAGUUUGCUUCAAAACUUUAUCCCUUACUUCAAAUAAGCGAAAUUUGUUUUUCUUGUCAUAAACAAUGAACCAUCCUUUGCUGACAGCAUUGUCCAUGGAGGGUAACAUUCAACCUCUUUUUUUUUUUUCAUCCAUCGGAGAUAGUAACUCAUUGUGCUCCUUGAUCCAUUUAAUUCCUUCUACCUGAGCCUUCGUCCAAAUGUGCAAGGACGGGAUCUCAAUUUUGGAGGGUAUUAUCACUUCCAUUCGAAGCACAAUGUGUUGCCUCAACUUAGAAAUGUAAUCUCCAGGUGAAAUGCUUACAAAGUUCAAUAGUAAAAAUUUGCAAAAUUAAAGAAAAAAUUCUCUUUUUUUUUCUCUUUUCUUUUUUCACUCCCUUUUUUUUUUCUUUUUUUUUAAGUUAGCUGCUGAAGUAUGUACUCCUUUUGAACAAAUAGUCGAUCAUUCACUUUGCAAAGUAGUAUUAUUGCUCCAUUUUUAUUCAUGAUUAAUCUCCAAAUUUGCAAGAUUUUGACUUCCGUCUUUUCCUUGAUCUUAACCAUAAACACUUGCACAAGGGGGAUUUUUCAAAGCACUUGAAUUUUUUCAAAAAUUUUUUUGAGCAAUGACAUAACAAUUAAGACUCAUGCAAAGUAUUGACUUAUCAAGAUUUAAAAUAUAUACUUGAUCUUGGACAUACCCUACAAAUAUAUUAUAAAAUUUUUGCCUCAGUUUGAAUUUAUUUGAUGAGAUCUCACAAAUAUAUUACAAAAAAUUUUGCCCCAGUUUGGGCUUAUUUGAGUUGCAAAAUAAUCACAUGCAAUGUGAAUAGAAACUACAUUUUUCAAAUGGAGAAUUUAAAUGUCAUAUCCAAACUCAUAUAGAAGAUUCCAUGAUAAAUCCCUCAAAAUAAAACCAGAUUGCAAAAGAUCUUUUCCUUAUUUUGGGAUCGAUGUUGAGGGAAAAGGGUCACUUUUCUUAUUAGCUCAUCUUUUAGAACCAACCAAAUGGGUAUUAUUGAUGAUUUUGAGGUGGUUCAGGGAGAUAGUAUGUCAGGAUCUGUCUUUUUUUUUUUUUUUUGCCCAAAUUGUAUCUAGCACAUUCAAUAUCACAUCUUGGUGAAAGCAGAUAGUUUAUCACUCUUAUUUCUUGAGAAAACUUAGUCAACAUAUAAGCUGUAUAGGUUUGUAAUACAUGGGUAGAAACGAUAGCUAAACAUAUAAAAACAGGUUAUAGCCUUAUGAUCAUGAGUGAUUGGUAGAUUCCUUAGAGGCAAGAUUUUCACUUCAAAUUGUCAUGAAAGAUAAGUCAGCAAUGGACUUUAUGAGCUUGUAAUGUAGUUUAACAACGAUAGCUAAAAAAACUUUCAUGAACAAUGCACUUAAGAUCGCAUUCCUUCCCAAAAAAUUGCUCCAGUUUUGGACUCAAAAUCUGGAACCCCAUUUUGGCUCUUUUUUUUUCUAGAGGAAAUUCAGCAUUGGAUAUCUUUGCAUUUUCUUUUCAUUUCAUAAUUUUUCAUUUUUUUCACAUUUUUUUUCUCUCUUUUCCCUUCUUUCCCCUUUUUUUAAUACUGAUAUCCCAAUAUUAAUGAUAGAAUUGAAAACUCCCUAAUUUUGGAGUGUAGAUGGUCCUUCUUUUUUUCCGAUAUUGAAGACCAAAUAUCAAUGGUAGAGUCAAACUCCCCCAACUUGUAGUUUUUUCUCCUCUUUUUUUUUUUUUUUCAAAUCUCCUUCCCCAGUAUGGGGGCGCGAUCAUAAGUGAUUUUGAAACGAACCACCAAUUUAGGCUCAAAUAAGGAUGCAAGGGAUAAACAGUAUUUAGAUGGUAGAAACGAUGACCAAAGCAUCAUUCUUAUUUCUCAUGACAACCAAAGUAAAGAAUAAUCUGUUGGGAAAAUCCAUUUCCUUUUGACAUUCGAAAAUUUUUCAUGCAAGGUCAUGAUCAUUUAGGAUUUUAUUUGAAACGAAAUUCUAUUUUUAAAGGCUCAAAUGGGAAAGCAAAUGAUAGAAUCUGUAUAUAUAGAGAAACGAAAGCCUAAAGUAUCAUUCCAAAUUUUCAAAACAAAAUAAGAAGUAAUGUACAUUUUUGCUUUCACUCAGAUGUGGAUUGAAUCUGGUUAGACACACCGGACAUUUUCACGGAAAAAAUUAUCUCACUUUGAAACUAGUCAGCCAAUGCGACUGAUUUUGGAGGUUCAAUAGAAGUGGACAAAAAAUGAAAAUGAAAAGUGUUGAGGUUGAUCUUUAAUGACAAUCUAUCAAAUUUGAAUGACCCCUUUUAUUUCCGACUAUCCUCAUUGAAUAGUUUAGGCCACAAAUCUAGUGUAUGCAAAGAAUUUUGGGAAUUGAACAUGCACUCAUGAAUUUCGAACAAUAGGUCGAAAAAUUUCAAUUUAGCCUUAUUUCUUAAAAUCUAUCAUGAAAUCUCCCAAUGAACAAAUAAAGAAUGAAUAUAUACAAAACAAUAAUUGUCUAAAUAAAAACUUUAUUAUUCAAAUGUUUGAAAUUUUUUUUGUCAAAUAUAAUACAUAUGAGCAAAUAAAAAUCUCUAAAGAAUACACUUUCAAAUAUAUGCACGCUUUCUCUUUCUAUCUUUUGAGACAAAAUAUAUUAGACACAAUGAAUCAAAAGAUUUUUGAGAUACUUUACACUAGCGUUUUCAAAUGGAUUUGUCAUUCAUUUUUUUCAUCAUCAUUUUUUUUUACAUUGUAGGAUCUGCCCAAGAAUCAAGUAACACUUGUAAUUUUUAAAAUUUAUCAGACCAAAAAUAUUAUCAGAUAUAGGAAAAAUAUUUUUACCUUGUUGAAACAACUUUUAUAAAUGUAGGGGAGGGGGAAAAAUAAAAAAAAAAUACCCAAAGUUAGUAAGUAAAACUGUAAAAUCGGUAUGCAUGUCCUAUGAGAAACCCCUUUUAUGCCAAGGAUUGAUCUAGUAUGAAAAAUGCAAUCCUCUGGAGUAGACACCAUACCAUACCUGAUGGAUCCGAUUGACUUAUUGAGAUUCAAUUGAAGUGCAUUUGAAACAAAUUGGACUAAUUGGAUUUUUUUUUUCGACAAUGAUAGAUAACUAACAAAAUGAGGACAAAGUUCGAAUGGAUUGAUUGCUUUGAUUGGCACAAGAAGCGAUGUUAAAAAUCAAUUUAGUGUAAAAAACUUAUUUUUGAAAGAAUUGAAAUGUCUCGACUAGUUUCUUCAGUGAACCAUAGAUUGAAACUUUAAAAGAGAACAAACGGAUUAAAUGAAUCGAAUGAAAUUGGUGAUUAGUUCAAAAAGUGAUUGGAUUAUCCUAAAAGUGAAUAAAACUGGUCAAAUGGAUUGGAUGAAAUUGAUGAUUUAUUAAAAAAUUGAUUGAAUUGUCCUAAAAAGAAUAACGAAUUGGAUGGAAUUGAUGAUUUAUUCAAAAUUUGGCUGAAUUAUCCUAAAAGUGAAUGAACGGAUCAAAUGGAUUGAAUGAAAUUGAGAGUUUAUUCAAAAAUUGGCUGGACCACCCUAAAAAGGGGUAAAUUGGUCAAAUGAAUUGAAUGAAAUUAAUGAUUUAUUUCAAAUUUGACUAGACUGUCCUAAAGAUGAAUCACUGGAUUGACAAAAUGAAUUGGAUAAAAUUGAUGAAUAAAUUGGUCAAAUGAUUUGAAUGGAAUUAAUGAUUUAUUCAAAAAUCGAUUGAAUUGUCUACCCAUUGGUAGUUUCAAAAAAUUCAUUGCGAUACAUUAGUUUAUGAGCCUUCUAAAAUCAAGAUUUGGCCUCAAUCAUAUUUAUCGUCUCAACAAAGUGAAAUUAUUUGUGAAUUUCUUCAACUUAAUGUCCUUUACGCAAGGGGUUCUUUACCAAUUUUGAUAAAAUGGUCAAAAAGUGAUUAUUAGAUGUUCAUAUUUUAACGUGCAAAAAAUUGCUCUAUUAUCUUAAAAAAGAUCGGAUCCUUACCUUACCUCGUGCACUACCCCUUCGGACAAUACAAGAAAUAUAAACGUGCAAGUCUCAUUGGAUUAUAUAUCCGAGACAAAAGGUGGCUUAUUCCUAACGUGGGAUUCCCUAUGCGGCAUUCCCUUUAUGGUUAAUGCAUGAUGACAAUUUAUUAAAGCGCAUUAAAUAUACAAUGAAAUAAUUGAAAUAUGACCUAAAGUGCCUCAUUUAAAUGCUGAGAUAAGCUUAAAAUGAUGUGCAAUACAUACGUAUAUUAUCAAUGCAAUUAACUAAAAUUUAAACAUGCUUGAUAUAAAAGGCGGUCUUGUUCUAAAUGAGUACCAUUUCAGGACUCUUACUUUUUAGGGUUUAUGAAUGCAAUGGAGAUAAAAACCAAGAAAAGUUAGUUCAAUCAGGCAAUAUACACAUUAGAUCUAAAUGUAAUAGUAUAUAUACUAUGAGUACAUAUAGAAUUUACUCUUACUUCUAAAUGUUUUUUUUCCUGAGUUCAUUGCUUCCUGAGUAUACGCUGAUAUCAAUUAUACAUAAUUAAUACGAAACACAUAUCCUUAUACUAUAUAAGAACGAGUUAAGGACUAGAUUUCAAUCGCAGGGGUAAGGUUAUUUUGGGAAUGUUUGAAGAGUGAUUGGAACAUUGAAUACAAGUCAUUAUAACUUUAAUUUCAUUAUAAUUACUUAUAUAACCUUUCAGACAUUUAAGAUUAGGGGCAUGUUUGGUAUGUUACAAUUUUUGGUGCCAAGUUGAGUAUCAAGUACAACUGAAUAAAUCUUGUAUUUUGAUAGAAUUACAUAAAAGUCCUUUUAAUCAUUUAUUAUACUAACAUCCAAGCCUUCCAAUUUCCUGAAACCUUUCUCAUCCGUUAAGGAAUUAAUUGGAUGUUUACAUAAUUGGAUUUUAAUUACAAUUAAUUAACUUAAUUAUUAUCUGAACAAUCAUUAUCAUAUUUAUGUCCCCCAUGUUUAGCUGAUACCCUUUUUUCUUUUUCGGUUUCACCUCUUUGAUUUUAUUAUGGCUAUUAAAUAUUUGGUGGAAUGCAUAACUUUUCCUUUAAAUUGAGGUGAGUUCUUUAGCUUUGUUCUCUUCGAUUGUAGUUUUUUUUCCUGAUGAUUAGUUUAUUCAACAACUCCAUAUAAUUUGCUUUUUAAUAUUUCUAAUUCCAAAAACUAACUAAUUGUAUUGUUUUUCUUAGUAGAUCCCAGAGAUUCUGUCUUUGGUUAAAGUACAAUUUGAGAUAAUGUUGUCACUUUCUAAAAUAAUCAGAAAAGCAAUUUUAUCAUCCUUUUCUCCUCAACCAAGGUAUUAUCUCUUUAUUUAAGUCAAAUAAUCUUAUUUCUCAUGAACUUUCUCCUAUUAUUCUUGAUUCCAGGGAUCUGUUGACUACAUUCCAGCAGUUAUGGUUCAAGUAGUUAUUUUUUCAUGUAAUAUGAUUUGGAAUUCAGGUUGUGUUUAUUUUAAUUGGGAAUUUUAUGAUUGUAAAAUUUAUUAACUUAGAAUUUUGUACUUCAUUGAAACUGAAAAAGAAAAUUAAUCAUGCUACAUAGUACUAAGAUGUCAUUUGCACUCUAUUUACUUUCCAUGUUAUGAUCUCGUUCUUGUAUUAUACUGUUUAUAUAGUUUCAAAUACAAAAAAUUUGCUUUUUUAUGCUAUGUAAAAGAAUUUGCAGUGAAACUUGAUGAGUUUAAAUGCUUUAGCUACAGCACCAUUUUGAUUGCAUUGUAUUAAUUUAUUUACUCAUAAUUGUAUGUUGUACAAUGAUAAAUAAUGUUUCUUGAUUUGAUUGAAGCAACUAUUAUCCAUAGUUCAAACGAGUCAAUUAAGUAGAAAUGUUAUAUUGGAUACUUACAUAAGUAAACAUUGGAAAAUAUCAUUAAGCAAUUUCUACCUAUAGUUUGCAAUUCGAAUUCAUAUGAGAAAUUUCUUCUGAUUUUACUUACCAUUUUCUACAAUUUCAAAUUUAGAAAAUAUUAUUUGCACCAAUUUUCUAUAAUCAAGGUAGUUUCAAUUCAGAUCUUUAACAAUUACGCAGAUUUGAACUUAUUUAUGAGAUUAUAAAGAAAUUCCCCUAGCCAAAAACACCAAAUCUAAAUAGUUUCUACAAAACUUUAAAAAAAAUCACUUAAGUUUCUUAUCUAUCUAUCAUUUUUGAGCAUUAUUAUCUCUGUAAGAAACAUGUGAUUAAGUCGUAUUAUACCCAUCAAAUUAUAUAAAUAGUUAGUAAAAAAUAAAAUUAUUUUAGAUUAGAUUGGACGCAAAGUGAUUGAUGGAUCAACUUGACUUGAUAAUUCAGGUUGAGCUUAAGUCGAGGGAGAAAUCAGAAGCAUUGCUUGAGAGAUCUUUCACGAACAUAGAUAGAUUCGAGAGAUGAAGGAUCCAAUUGAUACUUUAAAAUGUUUUAUCAUCUUGGAUAAGUUUUAGAAGACACUUUUGGAUACUUUUCAAUUGCACUUCAAACAUUUUUACAUUUUCAAACUACCCUUAUCUUUGCAGUUGAAAUUCAAACAUAACCAUUGAUCGCAACGGAUUCUUAUAUAGUAUAAAGAUAAGGAUGUCUUAUUGCAUAUUAUUUUUAUUGACUCACUAUAUAACUUAUGAUUUUUCUAUUAAAAUCAUAUGAUAAAACCAUCAAACUUCAGUUUUUAUCCUACAAAAUAUUAAACAAUAAUUAUUAAUUAUCUUGAAUCACAAGCACCAAAUUCCCGCGCAUCGCGCGGGCUGUCCCUCCCUAGUAUAGGUUAUAACAUGAUCUUGCUGAACUAAAACUAGUUGGAAUGAAAUAUCAGUUUUCAACGUUGCCUUUCUAGUAAUCGGUAGUAGGUACGAUGAAAAUUCAAAAUUGGCGACUGAUCUUUGUUCAAACGCCACAUUUACGCGUGAGAGCUUCAUUCUUCGGACGUACUAUACUACCAUGUGCUUGGUUGUUUAAAAAGGGGAAAAAAAAAAUUUUUGACAGUCAUAGGAGUCAUAGGCACAUACAAAUAUCUAAAUUGUAAGUAUAAACUUUCUUCUAACCACCCGUCCAAAGGCUGGUGGUUACUACCAAAGCAUUAAAAGUUGGAUAGGAUGGGAGGCAAGGGUUCAAUUAUCACAUUAAAGUGAUUUUGUUUAAAAAAAAAUUCAGAUGGAUGAGUAGUGCACCUGUUUGAUUAGUGGUAGUUCAGUUCCCUCUGAAUUAUUCUUGGGUCUCCUUAGGUCCAUUCCCUCCCCCUAAUAUAGGCUAAAUUAGGUUAUACAACAGUUAUCGUUUCUGAAAAAAAGAUAUAAAUUUUCUUCUGAGGAUUUAUAAUACUGCAUGAAUUUCUUAAAUAAUAAUGAUAAUAAUAAUUAGAGACUGUGUAUAAUGUGUGCAUAGCUACAACUUAAUUAGACACUAUAGAUAUAGAACAACAUAUUUCCUUAAAAAAUAUAUGUACAUACACCUUCCAAAUAUAAAUACAUUAUACAUAUACCUUAUAUUUUCCUUAAAAAGGUAAUUAUACAGAAAAUUUAGUAUUACUUGUUUCUAAACAAAUAUAUAAUUAAAUUUAUUAUAAUAUAUGUAUUACCUUUAUAAAAUAUAAUUAAAUCAUUUUUAGGCUCGAAUUUGAGUUCAAGCUCAAAUUCACUCAUUUAGUUUAAUGAAACAAGAUUGAAUUCGAAUUUGAGCUCGAAUAUCAAUGCAAAUUAACCAAUCGAAUUUGAGUAACAUUUAUAACUCAUUUAAUAUUUGAUCGAGUUCGAAUCCUAUUCGUAUAGGCUGAACACCAAAUAUUCUACUUGAUUUGCCUCAUUAUAAGAGUUCUACAAACCAUCAUAGUAUCCAAAUCAUGACCUUCAACUUGUUACUGCAUGUGCAUUUAUAUAAUUUAUGCUAAAUACAGCUAUAACUUCGGGGUAUAAAAAGAAAAAAGAAACCUAGUAUUUCCUUCAUCAUUUCUUUUAAGAGAAAUGUUAAAAGCGCUUUCUUAUUUGCUGGUGGCAGUUCCCUCCCUUUGUUUUUACUCAUAUUAAAAAAAGGCCCCACUUUUCAUUUUAUUUUCAAAAUUAUACCAUUGCUAAAAUAUAAGUUCAAUGGAGGGAGGAUUUUUUUUGUUUUGAUUAACAUAGUCAAAAGCUUUGGAAAGGUAGCAUAAAUAAGCAAGGAGUUCGAUUGACAUUCCACUUCUUUUAAUUGGAUAGUUAUCGUCUUCUUCUAAUUUUGGGAUGCUGCCGCGGUAUGUUUAUUAGUCAAAGAAAAGGUGUGGAAAGGCGGGGCUGAGUGAUUGUGGCCACAAAUGGUAGGGAGAGUGUCUUGGAUGGACACGUGUAAAGGGUUGUUGUGACCUGCAACCUGCGUUGAAGGGGAUUGUAACUGUAAAUGUGAAAUGUGGAGUGUAUAAAUUAAGCAACUUGGAAAGUGAGAGGGUCGCACGUGAAAGUAAGAUGUUAAGUGCCUAAAUUAAGCAACGUGCAAAGUAAGAGGGUCCUACGCAAAAGUAAGGGCAGGCAAAAGGGCGCGAAGCUUGGCGAAGAAGUUAAACACUGUAAGCAUAUAAAAUGAACAAUUUAAUAAAUUUAAGCAUUAAAUUUAUAAUGAAUAAAUUAUGGAUUCCAACCUCAGGUGUUAAUUUUAUAAUGAAUAAAUUAUUACUUUAUUUUAAAUAAAACCCGUAAAUCUGGUUUGUUAAAUUAUACCCAUAAUCAUUUAUUAUACAGGUAUAUUAUGAGUACUUACUAACUAAAGUACUAAGUUUUAAUCAUUAAUAAAACAUCUUAUCAUUAUUUCAAAUAAACUUCCUAAUACUACUUUGAGAUAAGUUUAAUGUAAAAAUUGUACGUGCAUUCCAAAAAAUGGUAAAUUUUGAUCCUUAAUCAUUUUUAUUGCCAUGUUAUUAGUAAGAAUUACUAUUUAUGUAUAAAAACUUACUGUUAUUUGAACUAAAAUUACUCUUUUAAAAGUAAGUUUGGGAUAUAAAGUAGUAAUCUAUUUAUUUAAAAAUUAAGUUUAAUAUUUAUUCAAAUUUACCUUUUGAGGUAUAAAAGUUACUAAUCUAUUACACUUAACUUACUAUUUUAGAUAGGAAACUUACUUCUAUAAUUUUAGAUGUUAUUCUAUUUAGGUGAAUAGGUCCAACAAUAAAUCAAAUGAUCGCUAAAAGUGCAACAACAUGUUAUAUUAGGUAAAAACUAUUUCGCUACCAUAACUAUCGUUUAGUAUCUAUAUGUAUUGCUAAGGGAGUUUUGGAUAAGGAGCUUCCAAAAUUGUCAAAAGUCUGAAUGCUAUUUUAAUAGAAUUUUACAUUUUUAUAAUUAAAAAAUAUUUAUCUCUUAACUAAUCAUGUAACCGCCCCUACAAAUCCUAUAAUCAUGCUCAUAUUUUUUCCACAUUUCCCUCGCGUUUUUUCCACUACCCCAUAAAAUUCAAACUCCUAAACUUUAGCUAACGGAUAAUAACCAUCCCUGUAAAAUGAUAUCUGCAAAUUCCAAUACACAUCUCACAUUUAUUACUGACACUUAUCAUAUCACUUAUAGUAAUAACUAAUCGUUAAUUUAAGAAAUUCGCAACUAUGAAAGUCAAAUAUCCAAAAUUUAGGAGCCUGUUUAAAUUACAAUUUUCACAAUUCAACAUAUCUUAUUGUCAUAAUAUAUUUUACUCUCACAAUCAUUCACAAAUUAUAAAGGGAUUAAAAAUAAAUAGUUUUUUUAAUAAAAAAUUAAAAGGUAGUUAAUUCACACACACACACACACACACACACACAUAUAUAUAUAUUCUCAUAAUAUAAACUUAAAUUAUAAAAAAUUAGGAGGGCUAACUUUUUUUACACAAAUAUUUACACAAUAUGAAUUAAAAUUUUUAAAACUUUGGGAAGAAGCGACCUAUGGCCCCGAUUAGCCCCUAUUAGUUUGGGAAUGUUUGGAUAGCAGAUUUCUCCAAAUAAUAUUUUGCUUACAUCAUAAACACAUUUUUCAACCCACCUUUUUAUCUCACAUACAUCAUAUCACAAAAAGUGCUAUCGUAAUUAUUUCAAAUAAUAUUUUAAAUAACACUCUAUCCAAACAAAUUUCAAUAGCGUCUUAGUUCCAAACCUGCAAGAUUACAAAAGAAAAAAUAACUGAUCACAAAAUGAAUUUUACACUAUGGUGAUCCCACUCAAAUGUAGUUAUUUCACGCACACACGCAUACAUAUAUACUUAUAUAUAUACUCAUAAUAUAAACUAAAAUUAUAAUAAAUUUGGAUGGCCAGUUUUAUUUUACACAAAUAUUUAUAUAAUAUGAAUUAAAAUUUUUAAAACUUGGGGAGGAGGGCUAUGACCUCCAUUAGCCCCUAUUGGUUCCAUUAUUGAUUUCAAUGGCAUCUUAAUUUCAAACCUGCAAAAUUACAAAGAAAAACAAAUAACUGAUCACAAAGCGAAUCUCACACCAUAGUGAUCCCAAUGAAAUAUUUUAAAAAGAUUCAGCAAAUCACUUAAAAAAAAAUACAAGUCUUGCUGAACUUUUUUUGUAGUACGAAUUCUUCAAAAUUCAAUAGAAUUAAUUAAACCACCAUACUAAAAGUUGAUUGGUGUAAAAAAUGUUCGCACCUAUGUACAAGAUUAUCAAAUCGAAUGCAUAAUGUUGGUAAGUAUUUCAUUUUAAAAUAAAAAAAAUGCAAUUAUAUUUAUUUCUAUCCAUAUAUCAUUCAUUUUCUAAUAUAAAUUAUUAUUAUUAUUAUUUUAAGAUGCAUCUUCCCCAAAAACACAAUUCUUGAAUGAUUUACAAUUUUUGUCAUACUUUGAACUAUUGUUAGACAAAUCUUAAAUUUUAAUUAUGUUGGUAUAAUUUUUUAAACUUUUUUUAAAUUAAAAUGGUAUAAUCUUUUAAUUUAUUUUAACAAUGUAAGCACUGUGCGUAGCAAGCUGUCCUUGUAUGACCGAGCCUGAGAGUUUAAGCAUGUUUUGGUUGAAUUUUAUAAUUCAAAAUUUUGGGUUUGGAGGGAAUAGGUUAUGCCACGCCCCAUUUUUCGCGAUGGAAAAAUAAAAGAGAUGUUUAUAAAAGAUGUGAUUUUAUUUUAAAACAAGUAAAAAAGGACCUAAAAUGGGACUUUGAAAAAUGCGACAAUUUGGGUCCAAAAUUUAGUCUAAAAGGAUUUUUAAGAAAAAAGAGGAGUCGCCACUUAGUAUUGAGUUGGGGUGUAUCAAGUCACCCCAAAAAUACUUUUUGAUAAGAAUAAAAUAAAACCCUUUUCGACAACUCCAGAUUUUUGAAAAACAAGAGAAAUGGGUUCGGCAGUCACGGUUGAAAAAAGGGAAGACAAAGGUUCGAUUAAUUCAAACCUAAGGCACCCUUUCAAUCUAGUCUAAGCUAGUUGCGAGGUUUAGUCAGAAAAUAAAAAUGUGCAUGAAAAUGUAAUAAAUAUCACACAAAAAUGAAUCUAGCGCAAGUCGACCUAAAGGGUCUAGCAUUGGACUAGCCCAUUUGUAAAAAAAACCUUACUAGCGUUGGACUAGCAAGUAAAAAGAAGGAGAAGCCAUAACUAGCGUUGGACUAGUGUGGUGACGUCAUGCAUUAAUAGUACAUAGUAAAACAAAUAAAGCAUAAAUUAAAACAAAUAAACACAUAAAAGCACGUAGCACAUAACACGUAAACAUAAUAUCUAGAUGCAAAAAUCAUAAGUAAAGCGGAUAAAGCAUAUAACACAUAAGCCACAUAAACACACAACCUAUCUAUUACAUCGGGGAGCCUAAUUACAAUCUAAAAGGAGAAAAUAUAAUAAAAUAAAUCUAGUUAUCCUAUCUAUUACAUUUUUGAGGUAUUUAAAUGCCUCUCAAAUAAUUAUAAAAAUUAACUAAGCACGUGUAAGGAAAUUUGGGUGAACAUUUAAAUCAAACAAAUAAAGCAUAUAAAAAAUAUAUAAACACAUAGGAACACAUAGGAGCACAUAAGAGCACAUAAUUGACAUUGAAAUAAUAAUAAUAGGGAUACCUCCCUUUUGAAGUGGUGAUUAAAUGGAGUCGAAUUGUCCUAUUUAUACUCAAAAUGAACAAAAGAAUCAUGACACCAAUUUAAUUGAAAAAUAAUAAUAACAAAAAUACUAAAUUCACACUAAUAUGUCAAACGUAAAGAAAUUUAAGAACAUUUAAAAAUUACAAGUUAAGUAUAUUCAAAAGUAGCAUAAUUAGCUAUUAAAGGAAAGAAACAAUCAUAAUAAAAAGAGUUAAAAUUCACUAAGGAUUGAAUUGCAAAAAUUGAAAACUUUUGGGGGACAAAAAUUAUAUUUUUCAAAGUUUAGGGGUCAAAAUUAAAUAAAAGAUAAAAUUCAAGGAUCAAAGUGUAAUUAAUUUAAGGACCUAAAUGAAAUAGAUUUAAAAUGUUAUGAGCCGUAGUAAAAUUACUCCAAAGAUUAGGGGCUAAAGUACAAAUUUUGCUUUUGAUUUGGACAAGAAAAGGCCAUGGGCCAUCAUUUUUAUUUAUUUGGGCCGAAAACUAUUUAAACCCAGCUGAAACCCAAAAGAAAUAAGCAGUCCAGUCCAUCAUUUAUCAAUCAAGCCCGACUAAAAACAUGCAUGGGUUCUGACCUUCUAGCCCAACUGAAACCCAAAGAAAUAAACCUAAAUCCAUUUCCAAAAACCAACCAAAAACUAACUCUUGGCCCAACCGAAAAUAAAAAACAUUAGCCCAUUUCGAUUUCUUUUCUUUCUUUUCUUUUUUCCUUCUCUUCUCCUUCCUCUCGUUUCUUCUUUCUCCUUCUCCGGCAGGGUGAAGCUUCUAGCAGCCAUGGCAGCCGUGCCGGCGGUCGCUGGCAAAUUUUUCCGGUCACGAAAAAUUAUCAAAAUACAUAUCCCAACUCGAUUUUUCGCGUAGAUUCCAUUUCCGGAGUUAGUUUUUACCAAAAACGACCCGAAAGUGUCCAAAAUGUCAAAAAAACAGUCCAGUUUUUAUUUUUUUUUCCAAUCACCCUAUCUUUCACCAAAAAUCAUGAAAAUUAUACUACAACACUCUUACAACUCCUACAAUACAAAUAUGAUUUAAUUUCGACAAGAAAACAACAUAAAAGGGCUAAAAUAAAGCAAAACAGUCCCCUGAGAUUCUUUUUUUUCAUUUUGGCAUUUUUUCAAACGGUUAAUAUGCAUGCAUAAGACACAUUUUCUUUUCCUCAAUCUAGUUCAUGCCAUUUCCCAAAUUUCAGCAACACAACAAUUACAAUAAAAAGCCAGCAAACAAGAGAAAUUAAUAUACAACAACAACAAUAAAACCAGCAAAAGCAGGAGAAAUUGGGCAUUGAAACAUGGAUGUAAAAAUAUGAUAAAAAAAAAACUGGGAAAUACCUCUGUAGGUGGUAGUCCCUUGACCAAGAUGUUUGACACAAUUUCCAAGCCUUGAGCGUAUCUUCCUAGCUCCCUUUGGUGAUUGCUUUGUGUGUGGAUGUGUUAGAAGAAAUUGAGAGAGCGAGAGGGAGAAAGAGCCGAGACAAAAAAUUGGAGAGCUUCUUGUUUUUUUUUUUUGUCUGUCUCAAACCAAAAAAAAAAAAAAGAAGCCGAUAGCUGUAUUCUAGAACCCAAAAGUGGAGUUGGCGUUUUUUUUUUCUUUCGUGUCUUGUCUUCUGUGUGAGAGAGCUGAGAGAAGAGAUUUGAGCCAAAAAGGUGGAGUUUGAGUGUUAAGUUGGGCCAAAAUGAUGGUUUUUUCUUCCAAAUGACAAGAAAGAUCAAUGCAAAAAAUAUGAUGAAUUUUUACCAAAAUGAGAAGAAAUGUUAAUAAGGAUGGAGUGUAAAAAUGGGUUAAUAGUGCUUUUGGUGAAGCAAAAUGAUUAGGAUGAUUUUUUUUUUAAAUUUUCUUAAUUUUCUUUCUUUUUUUUUGUUUUGUUUUGCUUUUUUUUGUUUUUUUCUUUUCCUAAACAAACCUGCAAAAAUUAGAAAAAUGCACAUUAAAAUACAAGAAAAUAAAUAAUUCACUAAAUAGAAAAAAAAUUCAAGAAAACAUCAAAAUUUGACAAAAAUUUGGUGUCUACAGCUUGCCCCUCUUUGUCUAGAGUUUCAAAGAAACUCAAGACAAAGACGUAGACACCAAAUUGCUUCCCUGUCUCAUCUCGCUGCACAUGCGCUAAAAUAAUAAACCAAUGCUUGGCUAUAAUUAUUGAGCAAAAUGAUACAAUAACAUUGCAGAAAAUGUGACCGAACUCACGUAGAGUUGCCUACGUAUCCCACCAUGGGAAUUAGGUCAAACGUAGUUCGAAUACAAGUGAACCACAAUGAAACGAGUGCAUUGACCAUCUGUGAUCUUUGCAAAGUCGAAGAAGUCUGAGCUCUCAGAACUUCUAAACAUGAAGCACAAGAUAACUGAGAAACCACAAUUAUUAACCAAAACAGUUAAGAAAAUUAUAUUGUCAUAAUUAGAAAAAGAUGCACGGAGGAACUCGGUUACGCUCCAACAGAAAAUUAAAUGUGAUUGUUUAGAAUGGCAGUAGAAGGGUGCGCGGCGGACGCAGAGACCUCACCAACAAGAUAUUAAAUUUGAUUUUUUUUUAAAAGAUGCGCGGAGGGACGCAGUUACGCUCCAACAGGAAAUUAAAUUAUCAAGAAGGGAGAUAGAAGGGUGCGCGGUGGACGCUGAGACUCACCAACAGAAAAUUAAAUUGUCAAGAAAGGGGAUAGAAGGGUGCGCGGUGGACGCUGAAACUCACGAACAGAAAAUUAAAUUGUCAAGAAGGGGGAUAGAAGGGUGCGCGGUGGACGUUAAGACUCACAAACAGGAAAUUAAAUUUGAUUAGAACGGGAGAUAGAAUGGUGCGCGGUGGACGCUGAGACUCACUAAUAGGAAAUUAAAUUAUCAAGAAGGGGGAUAAAGGGUGCGUGGUGGACGCUGAGACUCACCAACAGAAAAUUAAAUUUGAUAAGAAUGGGAGAUAGAAGGGUGUGCGGUGGGCGCUGAGACUCACCAACAGAAAAUUAAAUUUGAUAAGAACGGGAGAUAGAAGGGUGCGUGACUCACUAACAGGAAAUUAAAUUAUCAAGAAGGGGGAUAGAAGGGUGCGCGGUGGACGCUGAGACUCACCAACAGGAAAUUAAAUUUGAUAAGAAUGGGAGAUAGAAGGGUGCGCGGUGGGCGCUGACACUCACCAACAGAAUUUCACGGCGCUGACACUCACCAACAGAAAAUUAAAUUUGAUAAGAACGGGAGAUAGAAGGGUGCGCGGUGGACGCUGAAACUCACCAACAGAAAAUUAAAUUUGAUAAGAACGGGAGAUAGAAGGGUGCACGGUGGACGCUGAGACUCACCAACAGAAAAUUAAAUUGCCAAGAAGGGGGAUAGAAGGGUGCGCGGUGGACGCUGAGACUCACCAACGGGAAAUUAAAUUGUCAAGAAAUAAUAGAUUGGUGGGAUAAGACUCAACCCCAACAAAAUAAAAAAAAAUGGUCAGCAGGAUAAAACCCAAAUCUGCCAAGAUUGGUGGGAUGCAACCCAAGCCCAACAAAGAUAAAAACGGUCAGUGGGAUAAAAUCCAAACCUGCCGUAAUGAUAAAAGAUACGUUAGUGGGUUGAAUCCCAUGCUAACGGAUAUGAAGAAAUAAAACACGCGUUAGUGAGUUGUACUCGAUGCUAACGGUGAUAAAGAUUAUGUUAGUGGGUUGGACCCGAUACUAAUGGUGAAAGAAGAUACGUUAGUGGGUUGAACCCAAUGCUAACGGAUAUGAAAAAUACGACACUCGUUAGUGAGUUGUACUCGAUGCUAACAGUGAUAAAAGAUAUGACACACGUUAUUGCAUGAAAAAGUUUUUGAAUACUUACCUAAAAAAUCAUUUCAAAAAUUGACUCAGUUUGAAUCAAUUUUGUACAACCAAUCAUCUGCUUUGCAUUUUGGCAUUGUUGCUCAAGUUGGUGGAUUUGUAAUCUUCUUUUUUUUUUUCAAACUUUAGAAGAAAUGAAAGAAACACACAUAUUUUUUUUUGUUUUUUUUUGUUUUUUGAAAAAAAUCAAAAGUGACGAAUUCUAAAACUUGAAGAAUACUAAUGACAACUCUCCCUUCAAGAGAUUUGAGAGGUACAUACAUAUGUCACUGUCCUCUCGAUUUUAAAAGACUUUUUUUUUCACAAAGCCGAUUUAAAAUGCAUUACCAAAAUUGGAGUUCAUUCCUUUUGAUAUUUACUUCAGUGUAAAUCAUGUUUAACGAAUGCCACAUUUUUCAUGCUUUCGAAAAAGUAAAAAGAGUGAUCAUAUGAUACCAAUACCAUGUGAUUCCUUGUGCUCCUUUUGGCCCUGAGAACCAUGCAAGCAUGAUCUUUCGAUGUCAAAACUGCUCCUCAAGAGUUGUGCUGCAACUUGUUUUGAAUCUUUUCAAUUUUCUAGCAUCAGUCAGCCAUACCUCAGUUUGUACCACAAAUCAACUUUUCUAACGACUAGAUUUGAAUGAAUGGCCAGUAUUUCAAGUGUCGGCAACCCGCUUUUCGUUCAUGAUUCUCUUAUGCUCCAAAAUCUCACCUUGAUGACCUUAACCUUUCGGAUUUUCACAAAGGUCACACCUUUUUAUUUUAUUUUGUUUUCAUUUUCUAUUGUUUUUUUCUUUUUCUUCUUUUUUUUUCUUUUUCAUCCUUCUCUUUUUUUCUUUUUCUUUUUUUUUGUUCUUUUUUUUUCUUUUUUUCAUUUUUUUGAAGACACCCUUUCAGGUUUUCACCUAAUGAACAAAUCUUGUUAGCGACCUUUAUCAACUCAGAAAUGUAUUUAAAGAAAGGAUGGCAUCGGCGCGACAACCCUUCCCAUGUAAAAAUGGUAAAGGUAUAUUAACAUCAUUUGCCAUUUGAUUAAGUGAUUUUUAUUAGAAAUACCACUAAGGCGGAGGUCGAGACUUUAUGAUUUUUAUGAUGGGGUCAUGUGGGGUGUAGAAAAAGUGUUAAGGCUUCAAAGCAAAAUCUUCAAAGAGGUUUCAAAAACCCUAAGACCGCAUUCUAUCAAUAUUUGCCCCAGUAUGAGGGUAUUAAAAUCGAAAAAAUUGUCCUAGUUUGGCUUUUGAAUCUUUGUUUUUUCUUUUUUCCUUUUUUUUAUGACAAAUAGGAGAUAAAAAUUUACCCCAGUAUAGGGUUUGCAAUCUUUAGGGGGCUAUCAAACGAAUGAUUAAGUUAUUCUGAAGGUUCACAGGGAAAAAUCAGGGAUAAAAUGUUCAAAGAGAAAAGAAGAAGACCCGUCUUUAAUCCACCUUAAAUGGUAUCUCAAAAAGAAGAGUCACAUAAUCAGAUAAAGAAUUUUUUACACAUGUCUGAAUUGAUUGGCAGAGGAAAAACCUGUCCAUCCAGUUCUGUGAGAAUGGGUGUUCCUCCAGAUAGCACUCUUUGAACAGUAAAUGACCCUUGUCAAGUUGGGGCAAACUUUUCUUUAACCUCCUCUUGAAUCGGAAGAGUUUGCUUCAAAACUUUAUCCCUUACUUCAAAUAAGCGAAAUUUGUUUUUCUUGUCAUAAACAAUGAACCAUCCUUUGCUGACAGCAUUGUCCAUGGAGGGUAACAUUCAACCUCUUUUUUUUUUUUUCAUCCAUCGGAGAUAGUAACUCAUUGUGCUCCUUGAUCCAUUUAAUUCCUUCUACCUGAGCCUUCGUCCAAAUGUGCAAGGACGGGAUCUCAAUUUUGGAGGGUAUUAUCACUUCCAUUCGAAGCACAAUGUGUUGCCUCAACUUAGAAAUGUAAUCUCCAGGUGAAAUGCUUACAAAGUUCAAUAGUAAAAAUUUGCAAAAUUAAAGAAAAAAUUCUCUUUUUUUUUCUCUUUUCUUUUUUCACUCCCUUUUUUUUUUCUUUUUUUUUAAGUUAGCUGCUGAAGUAUGUACUCCUUUUGAACAAAUAGUCGAUCAUUCACUUUGCAAAGUAGUAUUAUUGCUCCAUUUUUAUUCAUGAUUAAUCUCCAAAUUUGCAAGAUUUUGACUUCCGUCUUUUCCUUGAUCUUAACCAUAAACACUUGCACAAGGGGGAUUUUUCAAAGCACUUGAAUUUUUUCAAAAAUUUUUUUUGAGCAAUGACAUAACAAUUAAGACUCAUGCAAAGUAUUGACUUAUCAAGAUUUAAAAUAUAUACUUGAUCUUGGACAUACCCUACAAAUAUAUUAUAAAAUUUUUGCCUCAGUUUGAAUUUAUUUGAUGAGAUCUCACAAAUAUAUUACAAAAAAUUUUGCCCCAGUUUGGGCUUAUUUGAGUUGCAAAAUAAUCACAUGCAAUGUGAAUAGAAACUACAUUUUUCAAAUGGAGAAUUUAAAUGUCAUAUCCAAACUCAUAUAGAAGAUUCCAUGAUAAAUCCCUCAAAAUAAAACCAGAUUGCAAAAGAUCUUUUCCUUAUUUUGGGAUCGAUGUUGAGGGAAAAGGGUCACUUUUCUUAUUAGCUCAUCUUUUAGAACCAACCAAAUGGGUAUUAUUGAUGAUUUUGAGGUGGUUCAGGGAGAUAGUAUGUCAGGAUCUGUCUUUUUUUUUUUUUUUUUGCCCAAAUUGUAUCUAGCACAUUCAAUAUCACAUCUUGGUGAAAGCAGAUAGUUUAUCACUCUUAUUUCUUGAGAAAACUUAGUCAACAUAUAAGCUGUAUAGGUUUGUAAUACAUGGGUAGAAACGAUAGCUAAACAUAUAAAAACAGGUUAUAGCCUUAUGAUCAUGAGUGAUUGGUAGAUUCCUUAGAGGCAAGAUUUUCACUUCAAAUUGUCAUGAAAGAUAAGUCAGCAAUGGACUUUAUGAGCUUGUAAUGUAGUUUAACAACGAUAGCUAAAAAAACUUUCAUGAACAAUGCACUUAAGAUCGCAUUCCUUCCCAAAAAAUUGCUCCAGUUUUGGACUCAAAAUCUGGAACCCCAUUUUGGCUCUUUUUUUUUCUAGAGGAAAUUCAGCAUUGGAUAUCUUUGCAUUUUCUUUUCAUUUCAUAAUUUUUCAUUUUUUUCACAUUUUUUUUCUCUCUUUUCCCUUCUUUCCCCUUUUUUUAAUACUGAUAUCCCAAUAUUAAUGAUAGAAUUGAAAACUCCCUAAUUUUGGAGUGUAGAUGGUCCUUCUUUUUUUCCGAUAUUGAAGACCAAAUAUCAAUGGUAGAGUCAAACUCCCCCAACUUGUAGUUUUUUCUCCUCUUUUUUUUUUUUUUUUCAAAUCUCCUUCCCCAGUAUGGGGGCGCGAUCAUAAGUGAUUUUGAAACGAACCACCAAUUUAGGCUCAAAUAAGGAUGCAAGGGAUAAACAGUAUUUAGAUGGUAGAAACGAUGACCAAAGCAUCAUUCUUAUUUCUCAUGACAACCAAAGUAAAGAAUAAUCUGUUGGGAAAAUCCAUUUCCUUUUGACAUUCGAAAAUUUUUCAUGCAAGGUCAUGAUCAUUUAGGAUUUUAUUUGAAACGAAAUUCUAUUUUUAAAGGCUCAAAUGGGAAAGCAAAUGAUAGAAUCUGUAUAUAUAGAGAAACGAAAGCCUAAAGUAUCAUUCCAAAUUUUCAAAACAAAAUAAGAAGUAAUGUACAUUUUUGCUUUCACUCAGAUGUGGAUUGAAUCUGGUUAGACACACCGGACAUUUUCACGGAAAAAAUUAUCUCACUUUGAAACUAGUCAGCCAAUGCGACUGAUUUUGGAGGUUCAAUAGAAGUGGACAAAAAAUGAAAAUGAAAAGUGUUGAGGUUGAUCUUUAAUGACAAUCUAUCAAAUUUGAAUGACCCCUUUUAUUUCCGACUAUCCUCAUUGAAUAGUUUAGGCCACAAAUCUAGUGUAUGCAAAGAAUUUUGGGAAUUGAACAUGCACUCAUGAAUUUCGAACAAUAGGUCGAAAAAUUUCAAUUUAGCCUUAUUUCUUAAAAUCUAUCAUGAAAUCUCCCAAUGAACAAAUAAAGAAUGAAUAUAUACAAAACAAUAAUUGUCUAAAUAAAAACUUUAUUAUUCAAAUGUUUGAAAUUUUUUUUGUCAAAUAUAAUACAUAUGAGCAAAUAAAAAUCUCUAAAGAAUACACUUUCAAAUAUAUGCACGCUUUCUCUUUCUAUCUUUUGAGACAAAAUAUAUUAGACACAAUGAAUCAAAAGAUUUUUGAGAUACUUUACACUAGCGUUUUCAAAUGGAUUUGUCAUUCAUUUUUUUCAUCAUCAUUUUUUUUUACAUUGUAGGAUCUGCCCAAGAAUCAAGUAACACUUGUAAUUUUUAAAAUUUAUCAGACCAAAAAUAUUAUCAGAUAUAGGAAAAAUAUUUUUACCUUGUUGAAACAACUUUUAUAAAUGUAGGGGAGGGGGAAAAAUAAAAAAAAAAAUACCCAAAGUUAGUAAGUAAAACUGUAAAAUCGGUAUGCAUGUCCUAUGAGAAACCCCUUUUAUGCCAAGGAUUGAUCUAGUAUGAAAAAUGCAAUCCUCUGGAGUAGACACCAUACCAUACCUGAUGGAUCCGAUUGACUUAUUGAGAUUCAAUUGAAGUGCAUUUGAAACAAAUUGGACUAAUUGGAUUUUUUUUUUCGACAAUGAUAGAUAACUAACAAAAUGAGGACAAAGUUCGAAUGGAUUGAUUGCUUUGAUUGGCACAAGAAGCGAUGUUAAAAAUCAAUUUAGUGUAAAAAACUUAUUUUUGAAAGAAUUGAAAUGUCUCGACUAGUUUCUUCAGUGAACCAUAGAUUGAAACUUUAAAAGAGAACAAACGGAUUAAAUGAAUCGAAUGAAAUUGGUGAUUAGUUCAAAAAGUGAUUGGAUUAUCCUAAAAGUGAAUAAAACUGGUCAAAUGGAUUGGAUGAAAUUGAUGAUUUAUUAAAAAAUUGAUUGAAUUGUCCUAAAAAGAAUAACGAAUUGGAUGGAAUUGAUGAUUUAUUCAAAAUUUGGCUGAAUUAUCCUAAAAGUGAAUGAACGGAUCAAAUGGAUUGAAUGAAAUUGAGAGUUUAUUCAAAAAUUGGCUGGACCACCCUAAAAAGGGGUAAAUUGGUCAAAUGAAUUGAAUGAAAUUAAUGAUUUAUUUCAAAUUUGACUAGACUGUCCUAAAGAUGAAUCACUGGAUUGACAAAAUGAAUUGGAUAAAAUUGAUGAAUAAAUUGGUCAAAUGAUUUGAAUGGAAUUAAUGAUUUAUUCAAAAAUCGAUUGAAUUGUCUACCCAUUGGUAGUUUCAAAAAAUUCAUUGCGAUACAUUAGUUUAUGAGCCUUCUAAAAUCAAGAUUUGGCCUCAAUCAUAUUUAUCGUCUCAACAAAGUGAAAUUAUUUGUGAAUUUCUUCAACUUAAUGUCCUUUACGCAAGGGGUUCUUUACCAAUUUUGAUAAAAUGGUCAAAAAGUGAUUAUUAGAUGUUCAUAUUUUAACGUGCAAAAAAUUGCUCUAUUAUCUUAAAAAAGAUCGGAUCCUUACCUUACCUCGUGCACUACCCCUUCGGACAAUACAAGAAAUAUAAACGUGCAAGUCUCAUUGGAUUAUAUAUCCGAGACAAAAGGUGGCUUAUUCCUAACGUGGGAUUCCCUAUGCGGCAUUCCCUUUAUGGUUAAUGCAUGAUGACAAUUUAUUAAAGCGCAUUAAAUAUACAAUGAAAUAAUUGAAAUAUGACCUAAAGUGCCUCAUUUAAAUGCUGAGAUAAGCUUAAAAUGAUGUGCAAUACAUACGUAUAUUAUCAAUGCAAUUAACUAAAAUUUAAACAUGCUUGAUAUAAAAGGCGGUCUUGUUCUAAAUGAGUACCAUUUCAGGACUCUUACUUUUUAGGGUUUAUGAAUGCAAUGGAGAUAAAAACCAAGAAAAGUUAGUUCAAUCAGGCAAUAUACACAUAACACAUUUGUAGCAAAACAAUACAAAGAGAUAAAACAAUAAAAGGAAUAGAGGGGUUGGAUUCCUCCCCUCGUGAAUAGUGUCCUAAAUAGGGUAAAGCAGACUCUAUCCUAGGUAAACUAUCAUGGAUGCAUGAGGUAUUGCUCACUAAUACAUCUAGACUCGAUAGGUUUUAGGUCCCCGAGCCUUCAGACUUAGAAACCAAAGGUCAUCAAUCCCAAGGUUCGUUGUCGAUGGCUCGAGUGAUUCCCCAAACACUGCUACGCACACAUUGUGUCACGGUUACGUGUUUGAGUGAAUCUAUAAAAAAUCCUCAACCUUCGACUAAAAGCUAAAAGCUAUCAACCCAAAACUUAAAAUAGAAGAUUGGGUAACCCCUCGGAUUAUGCUAUGCACACAUCAUAUCGCGAUCACACGUCCAAGUGGGUCGCCUAAUCCUAAUAAGGUGGAGUGGCGUGACAAGCCACUAAAAAGAAAAUAAAAUGUAGGGUUGUAAAUAAAUAGCGUAUGCACGUAUGAAGUGCUCCUUUGAGGGGAGGGAUUAACAUUGAAUACGCGUGAAGGCUCUAAGGUAAAAUUCCCCACCCCAAAUGCAAUACGCGAUAUGAAUAAGUAAAUAAACAAAAGUAAAUAAAUAAAUCAUUCAUCUCAUACACGAGGAACGAUGAACCAAUACGAGUGUGAAAUGCAAAACAUCCUAAAAAAGAAAAAUGCAACCUAAACAUCCAAAUAUGAUAAGUAAAAGGGUUAAAAAGAGAAAAGAACAACUAAACCAAGUGCUUGGACCCUCUAGCGUCCCCAGUGGAGUCGCCAAGUUGUCGCGCCCCAUUUUUUGCGAUGGAAAAAUAAAAGAGGUAUUUAUAAAAGAUGUGAUUUUAUUUUAAAACAAGUAAAAAAGGACCUAGAAUGGGACUUUGAAAAAUGCGACAAUUUGGGUUCAAAAUUUAGUCUAAAAGGAUUUUUAAGAAAAAAGAGGAGUUGCCACUUGGUAUUGAGUUUGGGUGUACCAAGUCACUCCAAAAAUACUUUUUGAUAAGAAUAAAAUAAAACCCUUUUCGACAACUCCAGGUCUUUGAAAAACAAGAGAAAUGGGUUCGGCAGUCACGGUUGAAGAAAGAGAAGGCAAAGGUUAGAUUAAUUCAAACCUAAGGCACCCUUUCAACCUAGUCUAAGCUAGUUGCGAGGUUUAGUCAAAAUUUUCCUAAUCUAACCCUUAAUUUUAUCAUGUUUAGAUGUUUCCUACAUGAAUGCAAAUCUAAAUUUAUAAAAAUAUCGAAAGGAACAAAUGUUCAUUCAAGGGUUUAAUUGAACCAAUCGCAUUAGUUGCGAAGGCCAAAAUGAUUCCUUGAAAGUAUCACGAGUAUGCAAAUGAUGAAAAAGAAAAGAAACUUAAAUUAUAUAUAUAUAUAUAUAUAUAUAUAUAUAUAUAUAUAUAUAUGUAUAAGUGACCAAAGAAUAGGAAUGCAACAUAAUGGGUACGGGAUACAAAAACUCGUGAUAAAAUUUUCUUAUACAAGGAUUAAUGGGGUAUUUAAACUAAAAAGUUAUAAUCACCCAUAUCCAUGUUCAAAGAAUAAUUCUCUUAAUAUGAACAAGCAAAUGAACUAAUUUAAAUGAGAUGCAAUUCUAAAUGACGUGAUUAACACAUAUAGAGGAUAGGGGAUAAUAUAAUAGGGAAUAUUAUACAAUAUGAGAAAAAUCCUAAAAAUAAAAAUGUGCAUGAAAAUGUAAUGAAUAUCACAUAAAAAUGAAUCUAGCGCAAGUCGACCUAAAGGGUCUAGCAUUGGACUAGCCCAUUUGUAAAAAAAACCUUACUAGCGUUGGACUAGCAAGUAAAAAGAAGGAGAAGCCAUAACUAGCGUUGGACUAGUGUGGUGACGUCAUGCAUUAAUAGUACAUAGUAAAACAAAUAAAGCAUAAAUUAAAACAAAUAAACACAUAAGAGCACGUAGCACAUAACACGUAAACAUAAUAUUUAGAUGCAAAAAUCCUAAGUAAAGCGGAUAAAGCAUAUAACACAUAAGCCACAUAAAUACACAAUCUAUCUAUUACAUCGAGGAGUCUAAUUACAAUCUAAAAGGGGAAAAUAUAAUAAAAUAAAUCUAGUUAUCCUAUCUAUUACAUUUUUGAAGUAUUUAAAUGCCUCUCAAAUAAUUAUAAAAAUUAACUAAGCACAUGUAAGGAAAUUUGGGUGAACAUUUAAAUCAAACAAAUAAAGCAUAUAAAAAAUAUAUAAACACAUAGGAACACAUAGGAGCACAUAAGAGCACAUAAUUGACAUUGAAAUAAUAAUAAUAGGGAUACCUCCCUUUUGAAGUGGUGAUUAAAUGGAGUCGAAUUGUCCUAUUUAUAUUCAAAAUGAACAAAAGAAUCAUAGCACCAAUUUAAUUGAAAAAUAAUAGUAACAAAAAUACUAAAUUCAAACUAAUAUGUCAAACGUAAAGAAAUUUAAGAACAUCUAAAAAUUACAAGUUAAGUAUAUUCAAAAGUAGCAUAAUUAGCUAUUAAAGGAAAGAAACAAUCAUAAUAAAGAGAGUUAAAAUUCACUAAGGAUUGAAUUGCAAAAAUUGAAAACUUUUGGGGGACAAAAUUAUAUUUUUUCAAAGUUCAGGGGUCAAAUUAAAUGAAAGAUAAAAUUCAGGGAUCAAAGUGUAAUUAAUUUAAGGACCUAAGUGAAAGAGAUUUAAAAUGUUAUGGGCCGUAGUAAAAUUACUCCAAAGAUUAGAGGCUAAAGUGAAUAUUUCACUUCUGAUUUGGACAAGAAAAGGCCAUCGGGCCAUCAUUUUUAUUUAUUUGGGCCGAAAACUAUAUAAACCCAGUCGAAACCCAAAAGAAAUAAGCAGUCCAGUCCAUCCUUUAUCACUCAAGCCCGACUAAAAACUGCAUGGAUUCUGACCUUCUAGCCCAACCGAAACCCAAAGAAAUAAACCUAAACCCAUUUCCAAAAACCAACCAAAAACUCACUCUUGGCCCAACCGAAAAUAAAAACAUUAGCCCAUUUCGAUUUCUUUUCUUUCCUUUCUUUUUUCCUUCUCUUCUCAUUCUUCUCGUUUCUUCUUUCUCCUUCUCCGGCAGGGUGAAGCUUCUGGCACCCGUGCCGGCUGCCGCCGUUGCGGCCACCGCGGACUGCCGGCGGUCGUUGGCGAAUUUUUCCGGUCACGAAAAAUUAUCAAAAUACAUACCCCAACUUGAUUUUUUGCGUAGAUUCUAUUUCCGGAGUUAGUUUUACAAAAAAUGACCCGAAGUGUCCUAAAUGUCAAAAAAACAGUCCAGUUUUUAUUUUUUUCCAAUCACCCUAUCUUUCACCAAAAAUCAUGAAAAUUAUACUACAACACUCUUACAACUCCUACAAUACAAAUAUGAUUUUAUUUCGACAAGAAAACAACAUAAAAGGGCUAAAAUAAAGCAAAACAGUCCCCUGAGAUUCUUUUUUUUUCAUUUUGGCAUUUUUUCAAACGGUUAAUAUGCAUGCAUAAGACAUAUUUCCUUUUCCUCAAUCUAGUUCAUGCCAUUUCCCAAAUUUCAGCAACACAACAAUUGCAAUAAAAAGCCAGCAAACAAGAGAAAUUAAUAUACAACAACAACAAUAAAACCAGCAAAAGCAAGAGAAAUUGGGCAUUGAAACAUGGAUGUAAAUAUGAUAAAAAAAAAACUGGGAAAUACCUCAAUGUAGGUGGUAGUCCCUUGACCAAGAUGUUUGACACAAUUUCCAAGCCUUGAGCGUAUCUUCCUAGCUCCCUUUGGUGAUUGCUUUGUGUGUGGAUGUGUUAGAAGAAAUUGAGAGAGCGAGAGGGAGAAAGAGCCGAGACAAAAAAUUGGAGAGCUUCUUUUUUUUUUUUUUUUGUCUGUCUCAAACCAAAAAAAAAGAAGCCGAGAGCUGUAUUCUAGAACCCAAAAGUGGAGUUGGUGUUUUUUUUUUCUUUCGUGUCUUGUCUUCUGUGUGAGAGAGCCGAGAGAAGAGAUUUGAGCCAAAAAGGUGGAGUUUGAGUGUUAAGUUGGGCCAAAAUGAUGGUUUUUUCUUCCAAAUGACAAGAAAGAUCAAUGUAAAAAAUAUGAUGAAUUUUUACCAAAAUGAGAAGAAAUGUUAAUAAGGAUGGAGUGUAAAAAUGGGUUAAUAGUGCUUUUGGUGAAGCAAAAUGAUUAGGAUGAUUUUUUUUAUUUUCUUAAUUUUCUUUCUUUUUUUUGUUUUGUUUUUUUUUCCUAAACAAACCUGCAAAAGUUAGAAAAAUGUACAUUAAAAUACAAGAAAAUAAAUAAUUCAUUAAAUAGAAAAAAAAUUCAUGAAAACAUCAAAAUUUGACAAAAAUUUGGUGUCUACAGGUUAUAUCCAUUGUAAUCAAAACUCAAACAAAUGUGGGGAUAAACUUGGCUAUCACAAUGAACUAUACAAAUGUGGGGAUAAAUCUUAGUUAGUAAGUACUCAUAAUACACCUGUAUAAUAAAUGAUUAUAAGUAUAAUUUAACAUUUUUUUGUAUUUAUAUAUUUUAAAAUACUAUGAAAAGUAACCUUGUAAAAUAUGUAAUAAAAUUUUAUCUUAUCAUAAGUUUGUAAUCAUUUAAAUUUUUGAAAAGUUUGAAAGUUUGAAUAACAAUAACAACAAAUCUUCCUAGUUACAUGUAGAAUAUCACUUGUUUCUAUAUCACAAUUUUUAUAAUUUAACACCUAUGAAUAUAAUAGGGUAAAUUUCAUUUUGUCCCCUCAAACUAUACCCAAAAUCUCACUUCAGUCCCUAAACUUCAAAAUGGGACAUUUAAAUUCUUAAACUAUAUAAUCCGUCCAACUUUACUCCAAAUUUUGACGGAAUACACAAAACCUAAUAGAAUAGUUGCCAAUUCUGUUAGUUAUUAUUAUAAUUAAAGUUAAUCAAAUCCAACAGGAACAUAAGUGUAAUUUCAUGAGACCCAAUAUAAAAAAUAAAAAGACAGAGAGAUAAAGAUAAUUUUACCUCUUUAAUUAAUAUUAAUUAAAGUUUUUUUUCUUUUUUAAACAAAAGAAGCCAAUUUUUUAAACUUUCCUUUUCUUUUUUCCACAUUUUUUCUAUUUUCCUUUCAUUUCCUUUUCUAUUUUUUCUUUCUUUCUUUGCUGCCUUCUUCCUCCAUUACCGCACAUCCACCAUUGCUACACCAUCACCUUCCUUUUCUCCUACCAUCAUCAUUUGCCACCUUUUACUACUCCAUUCUCCUUCUCCCUGGUGAUGAAUCAGAAAACAUAUGUUUAUCACAGAAGGAAUCACCAAAUGUUUGCCAUACCAAUCCAUAGCCAUCCCACCCAAUUUCUUAUCCCCUCUUCUUCACUUGCCCCACCAAAAAUCUCUCCUUCCAUAGUUUCUCUAGCAACCUAGCCCUCCAUUGCUCUAUUGCUCUCUUCUCUUCCCACCAUAUGACCCACCACAAAUAUCCAGGAACCCAGAGCCAUCUGGGAAUCACAUUAUCCGCCAUCCCACCCAAAUAAAAAGCAAGCAUUUGGUCUACAAAAACCGGCCCUGCAAUAGCUACGGUGUACAAAGCAUAAAAAGGAGGCGACAGAGAGUCAUACAAUCUGGCAGCAAAUUCCGAGUCCAAUCUGUGGGCACCAGCUAGCGUCCACGCAUUCUAGUAGAAGCUGGUAAUUUUUGCCAAAAUCAAUAGCACCAGUAUCGCAUAUGCCCCGUGGUACACGGAGUAUCGACACAUGACGAAAACGAAUAAAGUGGCCAGAUGGUGGCUGAUGAAAAGCACAUCUCUUGAGUAGAAAAUCAAGUAAUGGCAUAGGCCCAUCAAGAAAUAGGCAAUGCUGUAAUCGAGCACUAGAUUCUGGAAAGGGGUAUUCUGGGAAUGGAAAUUGCGGUUUGGAUCGAUCAAGAUGGCGCGACUGGCUAAAAACACGGCGGAAGUGCCGUGGGCCAGUGAAAUUACGCAGCUCGACGCUUCCGGCCGGAGAUUCCUAGACCAGUUGCGGAAGAUGACGAAGUAAGCAAUCAAGUAAAGUAGAAGAUGCACAACGAAGAACACAUGAAGAUUUGGCAUCGGCAGCGCACUAGUAGAGAGAUAGGGAGGAAGAGAAAGUAGGCGGGUGAAUAAUUUUUAAAGAUUUGGAGUAUCUCAAAAGCUUUGGAUUGCAUGAAAUUACACUUAUGUCCCUGUUGGAUUUGAUUAACUUUAAUUAUAAUAAUAACUAACAGAAUUGGCAACUAUUCUGUUAGGUUUUGUGUAUUCCGUCAAAAUUUGGAGUAAAGUGGAACGGAUUAUAUAGUUUAAGGAUUUAAAUGUCCCAUUUUGAAGUUUAGGGACUGAAGUGAGAUUUUGAGUAUAGUUCGAGGGGACAAAAUGGAAUUUACCCAAUAUAAUAAGAUAAAUUUAUUAUUUUAUAAUACGAUAAAAUUUUAUUAUUUUCUAAGUUUAUGUGAAAGGUCAAAAUAUUUUUCACAGAAUAUUUAAAAUAUAUAAGUACAAAAGAAUAUUAAAUUAUACAUAUAAUCAUGCAUUAUACAAGUAUGUUACGAGUACUUACUAACUAAUGUACUAAGUUUUAAUCAUUUAUAAAAUAUUUUAUUGUUAUUUCAAAUAAGCUUCCUAGUAUUGAUUUGGUAUAAGCUAUAAAGGAUUGAGUGAUUUGAGCCAGCUGCUUCUGUGUUAAUUUUGACCGGGGUUAACGAACUCAAUGAUUUAGUCCAUCUAACUUAGGUUAGUGGGAAAAUGGGUUACAGUUGGCUGGAAUAAAAUUGUAAUAAACCUGUUUUCCAAUAAAAAACCAACUCUUUAUGACUUUCCUCCAUUAUAAGAACAGAGUACCCCUUUUCCUAAAAAAAAAUUAUUUAUCGGAUAAAAUAAAAAUAAACCCGUUUUUCAAUAAAAUCCUAACUCUUUAUGCCUUUCCUCUAUUAUAAGAACCGUGUACCCAUUUUGCCAUAAACAAAUUUAUUUAUCGAAUAAAAAAAUUUAUUUAACGAAAAAAUAAAAAUAAACCCGUUUCUCAAUAAAACAUCAGUUCUUUAUGGCUUUCCUCCCUUAUAAGAAAAGAGUAUCCAUUUUGCCAUAAACAAAUUUGUUUAUCGGAUAAAAUAAAAAUAAACUCUUUUUUCAAUAAAAAACUAGUUCUUUAUGACUUUCUUCUAUUAUAAGAAUAUAGUACCCAUUUUUCUAAAAAAAAUAUUAUUUAUCGAAUAAAAUAAAAAUGAACCUGUUUUUCAAUAAAACACUAGCUCUUUAUAGUUUUCCUUUAUUAUAAGAACAGAGUACCCAUUUUUUCAUAAAUAAAUUUAUUUAUCGGAUGAAAAAAUAAAUAUAUUUUUCAAUAAAACACCAGUUCUUUAUGACUUUUCUGCGUUCACUACAACAAAAAAGGGUAUUAGCGACAACAGCUUUAGCAAGAAGUAGAAAGCUUGAUGCUAUUAAGAGGCUUAUAGCAAGAAAAAGGAUAAUACCUCACCAAAAAUUGGAGCCAUCAUAUACUCUGCGAGGGCAAGGACUUUUCUCGCUUAAAAUUCUCGCCAAAAGGAGUGUGGGAAAGCUACCCUCCAAAUACUGAUUCUAGUGGGCCAAAGUUUCUAUGUUAUUGGUGAGAAAUCAUGGGUGCUUUUUUGUGAAAAUUUUAAAAUUUUGCUCCUUUCCAAUUUUUAGCAGAGCCGCGCAUUGAAAAUUUUUUAAUCAUUCCUGGCACAACACUUGUCAAGCGUAGCACCACAUGAAUUCCAAGCCUUCCAUACUUGCAAGGCUACUUUCCCAAAUAUUGUUCCCAGAUCAAAGCCCUCGAAAGUUCAAUCGCAACUAGGGAUGGCAAUGGGGGCGGGUGCCCGCGGGUGCCCGCCCCGCGGGGGGCUCUCGGGGCGGGGGUUGGGGCGGGAGGUGGGGCGGGGGCGGGGGGGAAUUUUUUCCCCCCGCUUAGAAACGGGGCGGGGGGCGGGGGUAUACUCCCCCGCCCCAUCCCCGCCCGCCACCCGCAAAAAAAAAAAAUAUAAUUAUAUAUAAUAUGUAAGUUAAUUAGUUAUAAACUUAUGAUAAUGAUAUUAUUAGUUAGAUGUAUUAUAUAAUGUAUAUUAGUUUAUGUAAUAUAAUUGAUAUUAUCAAUUAUAUGAAUAAUUAUAUAUGUCUACUAAUAGAAUUUAUUAAUUAGUUAUACUAAAUUUACUAAUACAUUUAUACUAAAUUUCUAAUUACACUUAAUAGAAUAACACUUUUUUCUCAAAAAAAAAAGCACAAACACAAUAAUGAAUUAGUGAUUGCAUUUGUAAUAAAAGUGAAAACUUGACUAUUUUAGUUAUAUUUAUUUCAGCAUAUUAGAUUGUAUUCAAAUAACUUAUGUUUGAUUGUUUUUAUGAGUUUUAAUUGUAAAAUUACAAUGAAUAAUAAUUUGGUGAUGUGUUGAUAUUUUAGUACUUGAUUAUUUAUUAAAAUUUAAUUAUAAUAAAAUUAUAUAAUAAAAUUUCAUUAACCCCGCGGGUGCCCCCGUGGGGGAAGCGGGGCAAGGCGGGGCGGGGGCGGGGCGGGGCGGGGGGAGCGGGAGGCGGGGGACGGGGCGGGGGACGGGGGAGGGGUCCCCCGCCCCAACCCCGCCCCGUUGCCAUCCCUAAUCGCAACCUCCCUUGCACCUUUCUCCUUCUAUUUCUGUGAGGACCCGUAAAUUUCUCUUAUUUUUAUAUUAUUUUAUUUUAUUUUCUCGUAUGAAUUUUCUUCAUUAUACCUUAUUAUAAUGAUUUUUCCGGACAUCUUAUAAGUGAGUAGAGUUUUUAAAUCAUUUUCCUAGUUUAACUUAGUUCAUAUUCAGUUUGAAGUGUAUUAUGGAUGUGGGGCCCAUUAGUGCGCUAAGUGCGAUAAAGUUUUGCCGAUUAAUUGAAGUUUUGUAUAAAGAAAUAUUACUUUAUAAUAAUCUUACGACUCAAUCACCCCACAAUAAGUGUAAAUGAACAUAGAAUUCAGGGUUUUCCCUUUUGUUUUCAAGAUAGUGUGAAUUAGGGUUUUUACGCCUAUCCGUAGUGCGACUAUCCGGUACGAAGUGUGGAUCAAAUUUGGUGAUUAAAAGUGAAUUUUAGAUGAUAUUAAGUGUGGGAUUAGAGGUGAUAAUAAUAAGUUAGUGAAUUAUAAGUUAAAACCCUAGUAUACGCGAUUUAAAGAAAAUCGGCUCGAACCGAUGGGUAUCGCUCACUACCGAUUGACCACACCACUUGACUACCACUUUCUCACCAUAAAAUAUCAUUGAUACUGGUGCAAAAUAUCUCCCUCAUCCUCAGCCCUCUUAGCCGAAAUAUUUGAACAAAAAAUGCAAGGAAAAGAAAAAAAAUUUGAGAUGGAUUUUGGUUGCGACGAGUGGCAACCAUCCCAUAAGUGUUGACCAACCAAUUUUCCUCCAUAUUUAUCAUCAAAAACCACAAAAAAUGCCCUCAUUUUCUUCCUCCUAGCCGUGAAUAAGAGAGAGAGAGAGAGAGCAAGAGAAAAACAACUUCACUUCAUCUUGAUUUGCACCAUUUGAGUGAAAACAAGAAAAACUAAACCGAUUAAACACUAGUUUGGGAGUUUGGGAAGCUUAAGAAACCAAAAAUUUCAAGGAGAAGUGGAGGAUAACUCUAGCAAGCUUUGUUUUGAGGUAAUAUGGCUGGCCACUCUUUUCUUUUCCCUUAAUCAUGUUGGAGUUGCUUAGUAACUUGUAUUUGUGGUUGUAAUGCUUAUAUCAAGUGAUUUUGGAUGGUUGGGGUGAUGACUUUGAGUUAGGAUUUGAAUGAUUUACUUAUCAUACUUGUUGUAUGGGUGGUAUAUGAUGUAGAUAAGUUGGUAUAAGAGGUGGUAGUGAUCGUUUCAAGCUAAAAAUGAGAUUUAUACCUUGAUUGUAGCAAAUUUCCAGAAUUGAAGUUAAGGUAUACCCUGUUCUGCCCGGUUCUAGUUCACCAUGUUAGAGGCUGAAUUAGGCUUAGUACAAAACAUGAAAGUUGUAUAGAAUGAUGUUUUAUAGAUGCUUACAAAAUUUCAGCCAAAUCUGAGUACUGUAGCUCAUGAAAAGACAAAAUACCCCUGAGACUGCCCUAGGUAGAGUCCAGCAGAUAGUUUUGACAUUUCCUCAAGUUGGCUGCGUUUUUCACCUGGAUCCGUAUCAAACUAGCCUUUGACCAAAAAAUAAAACUUUUAUCCCUAUGUUUCAGCUUUCCAACGGAUCUAAAAAUGCCUCAAUUGGAUUUCGGUAGCCUGAGUUAUUGUCAUUUAACCAUAGUGCGGUUAGCUAACCUAUUUGUGAGAUUCUGGUUUCGUAUAUUGCAAUUUUGACCCAGCUACACUACGAACUGGACUGAGUGCUCUUCAUCAAAGUUGUAGGCCUUUAUCUUAGCUUCGAAACAGUAUAAAUUUCAUCCCAAUCUGAUAAGCGUAGCCUCAGUUAUGUCCGUUACGCAAAAUAACAUCAAAUCUGUCUCUUGUUUUCUGACUUAAACUUCAUUUUCGGACAUAUUCCCAACUUGAAUUUGUACUUGUACCACUUUGAGCCUAUUGAACAGCUAUUGAAAUGAGAUUAUUUUGUGUGUAAUUUUGGGAUUGAUUGAGGAAAACAAUGAAGCCAUAAAUGGUUGGAAAAUACGUAAAUAUAGAGGGCAUGCUGCCCAAAAUUUUAGGACUACGCGAUUCCUUCAAAUUGAGUUGAUCUUGGUAAAAAUGAUGGGUUUUGGGAGUUGUUUGUAACCCUAGGACCAACUGUUAUCUUUUGCUCAAAAGUUAUAUUUUAUUCUUUUGUACUAGUACUUAACUUGGGAAGGCAUACGACUUGUGGUCGAGUCUCAUUGAUGCACUUCCCUAAUUUGUUACUAUCUGGCUAUCUGUGACUUCUAUAUACUCUGUAUGAAAUGAGAGUGUAUUUUAUCGCUCUCGUUUUUCUCAUCUGUUACUUGUUUCUUGCAUACUAUAUAAGUCUGUAUUUGCUCUCUGUAUCUGUUAUCUGUAUCUAUUCUCUAUAUAAUUCUGCGAUCUCUGAACUCAAAACCCGUGACUAGUUACUCGAGUCGAGUCGGCAAGGGCCUGGUCGAUUAGAUAACAAACCAUGGUAGUUUGUUUUGGAGAAUCUUUGGGUAUUGAGACUUUUGAUUCCUGUAUACUCGAGUAUUACCAUUUCUGUUUCUGUUGAGGUGUUCGGGCCCGGUAGGGGGUAUGUUUGGUGGACGGAAUCUGGUGUAAAGUGGGGUCUACGGACAUGUUGGUUCUGUAUACGUUGACGGAGAGUCAACGGGUUGGGAUCAAGUUUUGCAACGGACAUUUGGCUCCUAAGAACCACCCGUAUCCUUUCUAUCUACGGUGUUUGUUCAUUUCCUUAUUUGAUUUGCAUAUGUGACCACUUGAAUAUGAAGUUCCAUGAUUCUUACCUGCUAUUAUUUUGGUAUCUCAUUGAGCGUAAACUCACUCCCUUCCCGUUAUCUUUGUUUUCCUUACAGGGGACAAACUUUGACACCACGGUUUUGGGAGAAAGGGGUCGAGCUAAUGUAUAUGUCGUUUUGUUAAGCUCCUUUGUAACCAAAACCCUAACUGUAUUUUGAUUAGUAUGAACACUUUGGUUUGUAAUUCAAGUUAAAAAUGCUGAAGACUCCGAUGUAAAUAUAUGUGUAAGUAGUUAAUCUUGUCUAUUAAGUGUAUUCAGUGAGAUGUUACGCUUCUAUGGCUUUGGUGAGUGUUUAAUCGAUGUCCUAUUUCACCACUUGAUUUGGUAAGUGAUAUUGGAGCUUGGUGGUUUUAUUUGUUCGUCUUCUUUGGGUCCUAUCGCGCGUACUAUACGGUUUGUAAAAUUCGACUCCGUAGUCCUGGCGAGAGUUGGGUAGGCGGUCCGCCGACCCAUUUGGUUCGCCUUAGGGUGAGGUGGGGCUGUCACAAUCUCUCUUUCCCUCUCUAUCAAUUCCAGUUUCCCGUAGACAUAUGGUUCCCCUCUUUCUCUCUAACAUCCAGAUCUGAAUUUAUACAAUCAUGAACACACUUUAAAGACCUUUCCGAUGCAAUGGCAGACUUCAAGGAAAAGCGGUGGCGUAGGUUUUUUAAGCAGAUAUGUUAUUUUCAUCUCUGUUUUGUCAAUUGCUUUUUUCUUACAUUUUUGGUCAAUUUAACAAUCGCAAGAUAAACUCUUUGAAAUUGUAGGCUUCUACUUCAGUGGAUUAGAGUGAAUGGGCAUCUCAGUUGGAGUAGAGAAAGGGGUCUUACUGGAAGGCAAAAUGAAAACGGCCCGUCAAAAUUUCAGAUUUAAGAUUUCAGGUAGUCUCCAACAUAUUUUCAUACUAGAAUUCUUCCUUCCAUGAUUUGAUUUUUCCCCUGCUUUGUCGUAUUGUUCAAUCCCCUCUCUUUAGCACUCUCGCUUCCAUUCCUCCGUACCUCUCGUUUCCUAGCCCUAAUUGUCCCCUUUUGUUGUCCCAAACCCCCUGUAUCUUACACAAUUUUUGAAUGCUAAACACUGAUUAUGACGUGUUCUAAGAUUUAAGUCUUAUUUAUUCGGUGACUUAACUGAAUUUUGGAUGAUUUUCUACUCCGGUUGGUGAUUAGGAUUGAUGGUAUAGGUGAUUUUGCUUGUCUUUGGACUGAUUUGUGGUGGUUCAUCAUUAUCUAUUGUUUUGUGUUGUAGGACCAUUCGUGAAGCAUAUUUUUUCCCUUCCUUUGGGCUAAUUCUAAUGCUUUCAUUGCGCUGCAUGUGAUUCUCUUAGGUGAUAACUUCUCCUCCUCCUGAAUGUUUGUGCAAGUAUUAAUGCCUUUGGUCUUUUUGCUUUUUGAUGAUUUAAUUUUUUGUUUAUUUCUUAACUAAAGAUCUAGUAAAUAGAAUAUAGUUUUCUUUUAAGUGAACAUACUGGACAAAAAUAAUAAGGAUUAGAAAAAAGGGAUCUCAUUGGCUAUUUGCACCUCGGAAGCCUUGUUGGCAGAAAAAUCUAAUUCCUUAUUCCAAGGUCAUUUCAUGCUUUCCAAGUCCGAAUGUUACGCUUGCUUAGCUAGUUCUCAAUUUUGAAUGAGCUACAAUGGUGAAUGCAUUUACUAUUUUUGUGUUAAAAGAAAUAGCCUUGGCGUUACUUUACAAUUGGUUUCAUGUCAAUUGGGGUCAUAAUGAUUUCUUCAUCUUAAGUACAUGCUACCAACUUGUAGUUUGAAAUUCAGUUCACAUUUUGUACUUGUGGUUAAUAAAAGUGAUCCUUAGCAUUUCUUUUAAAGUCCCUCAUUUUCAUUUCUUUUCAUGCAACAAUAUGAGGAUCAAUGUCUUAGUUGAUAUAUGUAGGCUAAUGCAGGUUUAAUUUAUCUAACUACCAAUGUAAAUUUCUGUUUAAUAAUUUUUUUCCAUUGGACUCUGUAGGUUGAUGGUGGAUUGUAGUAAACUUGGCUAUGAAGCUCUUACAAGCUACUUCGAUUAUGGACUUCACCAAUUAAUGCAAACAUGAUACUCAUUGUAUAUCGGCACAGGGUCUAUCUUAGCAUUGGUUAUCCCUGGCAAUUUUGGUUGUACAUAUUAAAGCCUAAUUAGGAUUUGAUUUGAGUAUCUUUGUGCUUUGUACUGUUGAUAGUAUUGGUUGUAAUAUAUUGUUGCUCGUUUUGUAUUUGUAAUGACAAAUUGGUUUGUUAUUUCGUAUAAAAUUUUUGCUAUAUCUCAAUAUUGACAUUAAUGAUACCUCUGGCUAAAAAAAAUGGUUGAAAAAAAGAGUAGCAACUACAGUCACAAAGCUGCUUUUGGCAACUUUCUUGCAAGAAAAUCAUUUAGUUGCAUUUGAUCGUCUUUGGUAAGGGGUGGAUGGUUUCUAAUUAAAGAAGUUACUUGUUUAUGACAAAAUGGGCACUCUUUUCUUAUAAUGGAGAAAAGUCAUAAAGAAUUGGUGUUUUAUUGAACAAUCAGUUUAUUUUUAUUUUAUCCGAUAAACAAAUUCCUUUUUGCUUUCAAAAUGGGUACUCUGUUCUUAUAAUGGAGGAAAGUCAUAAAGAGCUGGUGUUUUAUUGAAAAAACGGGUUUAUUUUUAUUUUAUUUCAUAAAUAAAUUUGUUUAUGAAAAAAUGGGUACUCUGUUCUUAAGAUGGAGGAAAGUCAUAAAGAGUUGGUCUUUUAUUGAAAAACGGGUUUAUUUUUAUUUUAUCCGAUAAAUAAAUUUAUUUAUAGAAAAAUGGGUACUCUGUUCUUAUAAUGGAGGAAAAUCAUAAAGAGCUGGUCUUUUAUUGAAAAAUAGAUUUAUUUUUAUUUUAUCUGAUAAAUAAAUUUAUUUAGGAGAAAAUGGAUACUCUGUUCUUAUAAUGGAGGAAAGCCAUAAAGAGCCGGUUUUUUAUUAGAAGAUGAAUUUAUUUUUAUUUUAUUCGAUAAAUAAAUUUAGUUAUAAAAAAAUGGGUACCCUGUUCUUAUAAUGGAGGAAAGCCAUAAAGAGUUGGUCUUUUAUGGAAAAGUGAUACUUUACACAAAGUGACCGCGAUUUGGUUGAUGAAAUAAUCCCAAAUAAAAAUUUAGAAUGAAUUUAUAUGUUUUGAAAGUUGUAUAACGGUCGUUAAAACUCCAGAGAUUGGCAAAAAAAUUUUGGAGUUGCAGAAAGGCAGAGUGAAGAAGGAGAAGAAUUGAGCUUUUUGUCCGUUGCAAUUGUUUCGUUAAAAAUGGCUCUAUUCGAUUUUACCCAUUUUUUGUUUGGUAAAAUCGUUGGUUCUAAUGAUCAAUUCUUCAUUUCCUGUCAAUUGUCCUUAAUUGGCCAAAAUUACGAAACUUUGAGGAUGCAAUAUGUUUGGGGUGAAACUUUGAGAAUGAAAUUGGCCAACCACCCAAAAUUUGAGGAUAAAAAGUGCAUUUUUUCCUAUAAGAAAUGCUAUUUCUUGUCUUAAUUUUAGUUAUGACUAUACUACAUAUUUAUUAAAUAGACAUACCUUUAUAAUUAAAGUUAAUAUUUGAUAUUUUAGGAUGCCAUACAUUUAAAUAGAUGAAAAUUAUUUUGAACAUGACAUAUUAAAAUAAUUUUAUUUGUCAAUCAUUUUGGCUCUCCCUCCAAGGAAAAAAUCUUGGCUUCGUCACUGCCUAGGAAGAAAUUGGGGUCUAUUGCUAACAAAAGAUUGUGAAAAUUUACCUUUAUAUCCUAAUUAUUUGGAAAAAUCUAAUGAACAAAUUUUGCAAAAGAAACCUUGUUUCUUACCAGCAAAUUAAGUAACUAAUAAAAUCAUCUUUAAUAUUGCUUUAACAUAUUUAAUUUAUGUUAAAUACAAAUUUUACCAGUUUCUCUUUUGUAAAAAUAUAAGUGUAUCACUUUUUCAAUUUUAGUUAUAAACAUUUAUGUAUUUUACAUAAAUGUAGUGAUUCAGAGUAAAAUGCUCAUAAAUAGUUAGUAUUUUGUUGAUGUAAUGCAAAAAAAUCCAUAAAGAGUUGGUAUGUUAUGGGCGCAAUCUUUUUUACUUUCACAUAUUUAAAAUUUGUUAAAUGCAAAAUCUACUAGUUUUCCUUUCGUAAAAGUAUAAGUAUAAUACUUUUUCAAUUUUAGUUACAAACAUUUAUGUAUUUUACAUAAAUGUAAUGAUUUAGAGUAAAAUAUCUAUAAAUAGUUAGUAUUUUGUUGAUGUAAUGCAAAAAACUCAUAAAGAACUGGUAUGUUAUGGGCAAAACUUUUUUACUUUCACAUAUUUAAAAUUUGUUAAACACAAAAUUUACUAGUUUUCCUUUCGUAAAAAUAUUAGUGUAACACUUGUUCAAUUUUAGUUACAAGCAUUUAUGUAUUUUAUAUAAAUAUAAUGAUUCAGAGUAAAAUGCCCAUAAAUAGCUAGUAUUUGUUGAUGUAAUGCAAAAAACCAUAAAGAGCAGGUAUGUUGUGGGCAAUAUAUUUUUUGCUUUCACAAAAAUCAGUUUAUGUUAAAUACAGGACAAUCAAUUUUCCUUUCGUAAAAAUAUUAGUGUAACAGUUUGUUGACCUUGGUCUCUAGCUUUUGAUGAUUACAAAACAAAUGAAUGUUGCUAACAUCUCCUCAAAGGUUUUUUCAGUAAUGAAACAAAUCAGGUUCAAAGAUUAAGCAUAUUUGAAAAUGACAGAGUAUGCUGUACCUGUCGGACGCUCAAAAAGACAGUACCGGACGUCCGAUAAUCAUUGCACAACUUCGGACGCAUGUUUCGAACGUCCGAUAGGAUCCUUCGAAGUCGACAAAACUAUCGGACGCUGAAUAUGUCUCUACCGGACGUCCGAUAGAAACAAGAUAAUUUCUCAAAUCUCUUUGUUUGCUGUCGGACGCACAAAAAGCUUGCACAGGACUUCCGAAAGAAUUGAAGAAAAUUUCUCAAACUCACUGUCUGCUGUCGGACGCAUAAAACAGGACUAUCAGACGUCCGACACUACCAACGGCUAGUUGACUGUUCAACUACUUUCUAUCCGUUGAAAGCAUUAAUGAGGCACUUUCUUGGUCCUAUGUAAAUAGUAGUUGGUCAGACACUUCAAACAACUUUGGCACAUUGAAGAUACAAAAGAUCUAGAGAGAUUUUAGUGAGAAAAUACUCUUCAAAGAAGAUUUGUAGUCUUAGUGGUGUGAGGUUCAUUGUAAGCUUUUCAUUUAUGAGUGAAUCUUUCAUGAGUGUAGCUCUGUGAGGGUUGUCCUGAGGGAUAGUAAAACGUACGGCUUGACCGAGUGGAGUUCGGGGCAAGGAGGAGGUGAACCUUCCUUUGUACACAAGAGUGAUUGUAAUUCAUCAACUUGAAGUAGCUUGUUAAUCUACAAGUUCAAGAGGAGUUGGGUAGUUAAUUGGUUUGCAAUUAUUUCCUUUUUAUUUAUUUAUUGUUACGUUUGUGAUCUUUUAAUUGCUUAUCGAUUGGCUUUUCGUUUGGUUGUUUUCGAUCCUUACACAAUUUUUCAAUUUUAGUUACAAAUAUUUAUGUAUUUUACAUAAAUGUAAUAAUUCAGAGUAAAAUGCCCAUAAAUAGAUAGUAUUUUGUUGAUGUAUAUGCCCAUAAUCGGGAGAAUCAAUUGGAAUUCACUGUUCCUCAGCCUUGGACGCUUUAUGUAAAGUAGAAAUAUUUGUAUUCAAUUAAAUGUGAAACGGGCAACAAUCCAUCUUCCCACAAAUCUAGUUUUCACAAAUGUUAAUAUUUUACUAAUAUAACAAUUAAAAUCAAUUUUAAUAAUUCAAAUUUAGUAGAUUAGAUAAAAGUUGUUAGAAAAGUGAGAAAUCAAAAGAAAAAUAACUCAAAUUUAUUAAAAGUCCAAAAAGGAUUCAGUACUUCAGCUAUAGAAGUCCUCCAAAUGACUAUAUAUUAGAACGUCUAUAAUCAAAUAAAUUAGAUAAUUAAAAAAUUUAAUAUUUCAAACAUUUAUUUUCUUAAGUUUCACUUCUUAAAGGCUCUCAACUCCUUGUUCAUUAAUGACCAUAUGUUGUUUCAAAGCCAAGCAUGGCUGUGUUUAGUACUGCUUACGCUUCUUUUUCGGUGUUUUAUUCUUAGGCCCUUUAUAUUUAUGUUAAUUCCGUGACACCCAACACAUUUUCAGCUUCUGCAGUACACAACAUUUCCAAACCCCGGUUAUAGGUCACCACUUGCUUUUGUAGAAAUAUUCCCUUCUUGGUCCAUAUAUGUCAGGUUUCAACGUGCUGCCUUCUUUGUCAUAUGCUUUACUUUCCACACCUGUCUUGAAUUAUCCGAUUACACUACAGAAUUUAUCCUAAUUUUGAAGAGUAACAGAGUUCACAUACUCUGGCCAGACAUUGCUCGGAUCUAUAGUUUGAAGCUGCUUCACUGGCACGGGCACUGGCACUUGUCCAGUUUAAUUUCUUGGAAUCCUCUGCAACUAUAAAGGAUAAUCAGAGAAUCAUCUCUCACUCCUGGCCAGACAUUUUUUUUUGGCUUGUACUUGGAUCUGUCUAUGGUAGGCACACUUUGACCGUGCCUAUUGUUGGAGCACAAUGUGGGUCAGACACGUGUGAGAAACAAUAAUUAUGGCCACCUGCGCAAAAUAGUGGUAGUGGAAGUUGGACGCGCAUGAAUGAAUGGGCAGGAGGAAACGGUUUGGACCAGAGCAUAAGAAGAAUAAAAAGUUGAAAGUAGUGUGUAGAUUGUAAUGGGACAAAUACGAGGAAAUCUAUUACACUAGAAAUUUAUUAGUCCAUGUUUUCUAAAAGAUUUCUAAUAAUAUGACAUGUAUUCUUGAAUUAUUUUACUCUUUAAUCAAUUCAAUUAAUGUAAUUUAAUAGUUAUCAGUUUGUUUAGUUCAAAUGUUUAAAUUACUAUAUUUUAGUUAGAAAAGUAUUUUGUUAAACAAACUUAUCAAAAAAGCCUCUCUAAGUAAAUAUUUUAUUUUAUCAUUUCCUUUAGACAAAAAAAUCCUAGUUAAACUAACUUAUCAAUAACUUUUUCUAAGUAAAAUUUAGUAUAAUUACUACUUUUAACGUUUCCCUUAGUUGCAAAUGACAAAUAGCAUAUAUAUACGUUAAAAUGUGUCAUUUCUCAAGGAUUUUGAAUUAUUAUUUUUCAUUAGUUUCAAUUAAUGUCAUCUAAUGAUUAUAGUUUGUUUAAUUUACAUGUUUAAAUCCCUAUAUUUUAGGUAGGAAAUAUUUUUGUUAAAUUACCUUAUCAAAAAACCUGUCUUUAUUUUAACAUUUCUUUUAGGCAGAAAAGGUUUGGUUUAACCAACUUAUCAAUAAUUCUCUGCAAGUAAAAUUUUUUACUUUAAUGUUUUCCUUAGCUUUAGAUGAUAAAUAGCAUGUAUUGUCAUUUGUAAAAUUUUUUUGUAUAUAGGAUAUUAUAAAUUUAAAUAAAUGGUUUGACAAAUUGAUAAAUAGCAAUGCAUGACUAUCGUAAAAAUGUAAAAAUGAUACAUUUUUCUCUCAAUCCUAUUGUACAAAUUGGGAAUUUUACUUAUUGUCUUAUCUUUAUAUAUAUGUAAUAGAUGGAGGGUUUUUUAUCAUAAACCUUCACACAUCUCCAAAAUCCCAAUCCCUUUUCCCUAGAAUUUUACAUUUAUUUUAAUUCACACACAUUGCCUCCACAAUUUGGUACAAUCAAACCAUUUCAAAUUCUUUUGUUUGAUAUUGGUAUGCAAAUUAAAUUUCCACGAUUUCCAAUUCUUCCCCAUGUCUAGUUGAUCCUUAUAGUUUCAAAUUUAUGUAAAACUUAUCCAAAUCAUUUUUGCAAAAUUUUAGAUUGAUAACACAAAAUUUAAUUACAAUUCCUACAACUCUAUAAUAAUUAACCAAUAACAGAAAUUAUUUACAAUUUCAGUGUAGACUCCUUUAGAGAGCUCCCAACUCCCCAUCUUUUUUCUUAUAUUGUUUAUUUAUUUUUAGUUAACUAAAUAACUUUCAAUUUUUGAAUUACAUACUUACCAUGUAUGCGGUUAUAAGUUAGUUAAAUUUUAAUAUUUCUUAAAUUUUAAUAUUUCAUUAAUUUUACUAUGUAUGCGGUUAUAAGUUAGUUAAAUUUUAAUAUUUCUUAAAUUUUAAUAUUUCAUUAAUUUUACUAUGUAUGUGGUUAUAAGUUAGUUAAAUUUUAAUUUUGAAUUAUUUUAAUAUUUCAGAACGAAAUAUUAUCAACAUUCAAAAUACUAGCAAAGUUUGAAAUUACAUACUUAUCAUAUAGGCAUUUAUGAAUGAGUAACAUUUCUAGCAAUAUUAACAAAACUUAACAUACUAACACAAUACCACACUUAUAAAUGAUUAUUGCAAAUAAGGAAACAAAUAUUUGAAAUCCUUCAAAUUUGUAAUAACAAAAUGAAAACAACUUAUCAAAUAUAAAAGAUAAAACAUACUAUCAAAUUCAAAAAAGAACUAACAUUCACUCCAGUCAUUCUUUUAGGUAAUCCAACAUAAAUAUGUAUUAUUACCUUUGGUAAUUCUAACUUAAAUAUGUAACUACUAUUUAAACAUUAAAUUAAAAUGUCCAAUUUAUAGACAUACAAUAUUUAUAUUGUCUAAAGUUAAAAAAUCAAAAGAACAAAUUUAUGGAUGAAAAGAUAACACUUUAAUUUUUUGGUAGAGCACUACCCAAAAACAUACUAAUAAUUUGGCAAGAGAAAAAUAAAAAAUAACUUAGGAAAUAUCAAAAUUAAAAAAUAAUAUCAAUUUCGAAAAGGAAAUAAACAAAUGAUGGUAGUUUUUAAAUUAGAUGUUCUUUCUUUGGGACAGUUAAGGAUUUGCAAAAGCACCCACUAAUCUAAUAAUCGGCCAUAUCUAAUUUGAUCCGAUCCGAAAAUAUCCGAUUCAUAUUAUUUGAUCCGGUCAAAAGAGGGUCAAAUACCAGUUUAAAUACGGGGUGGGAUAGGGUCACAUAAUUAAAGACUCAUGGAUACUGAAUCCACUCGCAGAUAUAUAUUUUUUAUUUUUUUAUUUAUAUAUGUAUAUACUAUAAAAUAAUAUUUUUAGAGUUAAAUGAGUAAUUUCAUUCAACAAAUUGCAUUACAAAUAUCAAAGACUAUAGUUUGUUUAUAAGAUUCAUUUGUCAAUGUCAUGAUCUUAUAUUAUUUAGAAAAAAGUUUAAUUAAUAUGGAAUAUAUAUUUUAAAAAAUGUGUUACUUAUUUCAAAAUUCUAUUGACUUUGAAUUCUUUUAAAUUUUCCUUUUCCUUAUGUUCACUUCACAUAUUAUUUGCUGGUGGGGGACAUUUUUUAGAAAAUUUUUUUUAUUAAAUCUUAUAUGAAUAUGUAAAAUAUAAAAUUAAAUUAGUAUAAAUUUCUUUUUUAAAAAAUUAAAUGAUAAGUGAGAUAGGACGAGUACUCAUUAAUUCGAUCCUAUCUCAACAGGGUAUCCGCUGAUAUUUGAGGUGGGUAAGGGUCAGAAAAUGACUAACCCACAAAAUGCAGAUCAAGUCAGCCAAAUGGUGUACAGGAUGGGUACCUGACCCGUGUCCACCCUUAGGGAUAGUGUCUAUCAAUAAUGCUAAAAAAAAGUUAAUACUGGCAUUUAAAAUCUUCUUUUGGAUUUUGCUGUGAUCUAUUUUGAAAAAUAUACUUACUAAAAUAAAAUAAAAAUAUAACUACACAAGGCUAAAUAUAUAAUUUUUUGGGGCUUGGGCACCCACUAAAAUAUAUUUCAGGUGUCAUAUUUUUAGAAAUGUAUGAUUAAUUAGGAAAAGUAAAUAAAUACAAAUGAUGGUAGAUAAGAUUAAAUAAGGAAAGCAUAUAAUUAAAAAAAAAAUAAUUAUUAAUAUAUGUAUAUAUAUGGUAGAUUAGGUGAAUGUUAGAUAAAUGAGAAACCCUAUUUCUAUUCUUUUCAUGUACUAUUUAGAUAGAGUAAAUCUUAUAUACAUUGAUAGUAUACACACUAUAAUCAUUUGAUUUAUAUCAUAUGUACAAAAGUUGAAUUUCAAAUUCAAAUUUUACAUAGUUAUCAUUCAUCCAACGCUGACAAUGUAUACACUGUUAGUGUUCGAAAGAUUAAUCAUUUUAGAUAGCGUGAAUCUUAUAUACACUGAUAAUGUAUAUACAAUCGUCGUUUAAUUCAUAAUAUGUGUGCAAAAGUUGAAUUUCAAAUUCAAAAAUUGCACAGUUGAAUUUCAAAAAUUAAAAGUUUUGAAAUUCAGUGCUAAUGAUAAGGUUUUGUUUAUAGUAAAUAAUUCAAAUUGGUUUUAAGUAGCUACUUUCAUUAGUAUUUAUAUUUUGUCCUUAUUUAUCUCAUUAUUAUUAUAUACAAGUACAUAGUGUUGCUUUAUUAUUUUUGUUGAAUUGAGUCUUUCUUAAGGUUCAUUUGGGGUUACAGUGAUUUGUUAAAAAGUACUUGUAGACACCAAAAUUUCAUUUUUUUUUGUUUUUCUCAAUUUUAGCUUUAUUUAUUAUUAUUUAUUCUUGUUUUUAUUUUAUUUUAGAUUGAUUAAGUUUGUAAAAUGAUAGUUAGUGUUUAUUUUUUAUUAUUUUUAUAAAUUAGGUUCAUCAUUUUUCUUUUUAAGAUAUUUUUGCAUUAAAUUUCUGAAAAGGAAAUUCUCACAAAAAUUCAAAAAAUUUGUUUUUAAUCCUUUUAAGAUUCAAUUUCUUUAAAAUAAAUGAAAAUUUUGCAAUGCAAUUUCAAUUGGGAAUUAAUAUUUUUGUUUACUUAAAUUGAUUUUGAAAAAAAAAUAAAUAAAUAAAAAGAAGAUAGGUGGAAGCCAUGCACAAUAGCUAGAUGGAAUGCAUGCAAAUGAGACAAAUGUCUCUAUUUUUCUUUUGACACCACAACAUCUAGAGGAUACACCGUAAUAUCUAGAGGAUAGGUGGAUAGGACACUUGGAAGCCUAGAAAAAAACAAACAAAAGAAAAAGGAAAAACAAGAAAAGAAGCUACGGGACAAGGGGAAAAGGAACCGAGAGAGAAAAGAGAGAGCUUUCCCCGGGGGGGGGGGAGGAAAAAAAGAGCAAAAAAAACUGAAGAAGGGAGCAAGAGAGGAGAUUCUGGGAGAGAGAAAAACAAAAAAAAGCUGAGUAAGAAAGGGAGGAAGGACGGGACUGGAAAGCAAGAAAGGGGAGAGGAAGCUGCGGGCUGGAGCAAGAGAAAAGAGCUGGUGAGGAGCUCUGGGAAGAAAGGAGGAAAAGGCAAGGAGAAAAGAAAAACAAAGAGCUACAGGCAGGGCUGGAAAAACAAGAAAGGAAAGAAACCAGGAGAGCUUGGGGAAAUCUGGGAAAAGAGGGAAAAAGCCAAGGAAAGAGCUGAAGAGCAAAAAGAAAGAAAUAGCAGGAGAGAAACCAGAAAAGGAAGGAGAGGGUUUCGGGAGCAAGCAAGGGAAGAGAGGAAGAAAAGAAAAGAGAAAAGGAAGAAAGAAAGUGGGGGGAUCUGGGGGAGAACAGAGAACUUCAGAAAAGAAACAGAAAGGGAAAAGAAAGAGAGUGAGAGAGGAAAAGAGAGGGACGAUUGAGUAGAAGAAAAAGAGAAAUCUGCUGCAAAAAAAAUUCAUCACCAGGCUGACGAACCAGCCUGAUUUCGUGGAAAAUUCUGACCAAUUUCUUAACUUUUUGAGUGAGCUCUUGAUUUCUGCACCAUCUUGGCAAGUAAUAAAAGAACUUUCACUUAGGAAUCUCCCCAAGAAAACAUCUGUAACCCUCCCAAAUCGGGACCCAAAUUAUCAGGUUCAUCAUCGCUGAAUUUUGCGGCAAGUUCCAUUUGCUUCAUUUCAAGAGUCGGCACGCCGUUUCUUGGAGAUUUCACGUUGGUUUGAUGCCACAAACAUUCUGAGGUAACCAUUGCUUCUCCCUUUCUUGCUUUAACACUGUUUUCAUGAGAAUCCGAGUCCAAAAGGCAUGAAUCCUGUGACAUUUUGCUGCUGGUUUGGCUCCGUGAUUGUUAUCAUGUUUUGUUGUCUUGAUGUUUCCCUAGUUGGUGUUUUUUGUGUUGGUACAAUUUUGAUUGUUGGGUUUUAUUGAUAAACGGUGUAAGUUGCACAUUUUGCUAGCUUGAGGUUUGAUUGGCAUGAUUUAUACGAUUGGAAUGAAACCCAGAAGAUUGCGGAACUUUUGUCGCAGAAGAUUUGCGUAUUUGCUCAUUGAAUUUCUAUGAUUUUGCCGCUUAAAACCAAAUCUUUGAUGUUAAUUGAGAAUUUAGUUGUGUUUAGCAAAGAAAAAAUUACACUAUAUAAACACAGAAAGUGGCAGAAAAAGGAAAUCGGUGAAGAGGAAAGCUUCUUCGAAGCCUAUGCAUGGAAACUUUCCAAAAUUGCAUGUUGGCCCCCGGAUUUUGACUUAAUUAUACUAUAGCCCAAAAAUUAAAAAAUUAAUUAAUUUUGCCCUUUUAAAAUGUUAUUUUCUUUGGUAUAUUCUAAUAUGAUUUUUUGGAUAGAUUAUUGGUGAAUUUUAGGAUGAAAUUUGGAGGUUUAAUAAUUUUUGGUAGAUUCAUAGUUUUUUUUAUUUGGAUUUUGAAAAAUGGUUUAGAUUUGGGUAAUAUUUUUGUUUUGGAUUUGGUGAGAGGGUUUUGAUUUAUUUUUGUGAAAUUUAGCAUUUGGCUUUGAUAGGCUUCAUCUGUGAGGACUCGUAAUUUAUUUUAUUUUCAUUUAUUUGUAUUUAAGUAUUUUAUCGAUUUAUUCACUUAUUUAUUGGUUUGCUCCAAAAUAGUUAUUUUCAUGAUUUAUUAUCCAAUUAUUAGUUAGUUAUACUAUCGUUAUAAGAAUUUCUUAAAAAUUUCGUUUUAUCGCGCACAAAUCGAAAGUACGUGUUUUGCGCGCGCGAUUAAUUGAGGGACUUUAGAUCUUUAUUUUUAAACUAUUAAGAGUGAAUAAUAAAAGUAUUAAUGGAAGUGCAUUAGAGGUUUAGUUCACAAGUGAAACAAACCCGAGAGGAAACGAGCACGAAACGCGCGCGUACGCAUACUAUUGGAGGGUUGACUUUUGAGCACUUAAACCUCUUGUAGACAUCAAAUUUUUGGUUUCGAAUUUUGCUUGUUUAAUUAGUUUAAUUUUAGAUUUGUUGUUUCAAUUUUAGAUUUAUCUUAGAGGUUUCCUGUUUCAUGUCUCUUAUUUUAAUUAGUUUACGGACAUUUAUUUCAUUUAUGGAUUCAAAAGAAAAAAUCAUGGAAAAAGAAGGAAAAAGGAAAAAAAAAUAGAAAUUUUGUUUUAUUUGGCUUUAUUUAUCUAUUUUAGUCAUUUCUACUUAGUUUAUCUUUUAUUUUUGUUUGGUUCAUUUAGAAAAAAAGGAAAAAGAUGGAAAAAUUGAAAAAUGAAAAAAAUGGAAAAAAAGAAGAAAAAGAGGAAAAUCUUAGUUUUUUUUUAUUAUUUAUUUUUAUUUUUAUUUUUUAUCUUUCGGUUGCUAAUUUUGUACAUUUUAUUUAAAUUUAAGUUUGUUUGAAUUAUUAUUGUUUUUAUUGUUAUUUAAUUAAUCUUCAAAAAAAAAAAAAUGCGGCAUGCAAGCUGCGUAUUGCCGCAGCUUGCAAACAGAGGACUAGGCAGCCCUUCAGCUGCAAUUUGAGGAAAGUUGUUUAGGGUUGGGAGUUCCAUAUAAAAGGGAUGAAAAAACAAUAGCCGCAAGGGGGUCGAGGAGGAGGAUUGAGAACUAGCAGCGAAAGAAAAAGAAAAGGAAGAAGGAAAGGGUUUGAGCCGUGAGGAUUUGGUGAGAGAAAUGAAGCAAGGGAAAGCAAAAGGGGGCUUCAUCUGAGAGAGUGACGGCGGGUAAAAUCUGAAAAAGAGGGAGAGAAAAACAGAGGACGGCCGAACUGAAAAAUUCUGAAGAGGUUCUUUUGACGGCUAAAACCAGAGAGAGCAGGGAGAGUUUGGUAGCUUCUUGAACGGCAAAAGAAAAACCAGAAGGCUGGGUAGCGGCUAGGUUUUGAGGAGAGUCGAGGAAGCAGGAAAAAGAUAGAAAAAACAGCAAAAAGGAUAGAGGGUGACGGAAACAGAAAAACUGAGGGAGGAAGAAGGAGAGGUCCUGGCGGUUUGAGUUUGAGAAAGAGGGUCAGAGGUCUGAGAGGAAAGUCGAGAUAAUCUAGGCGGUGAAGGAGCUAAGGAAGGUUGCGGGCUUUUGGAGAAACUAGAAAGCCAGAGGCAAAGAGUUCCAGGGCCUGCUGAAGCGAAGCUUCAUCUGUCGGAGGAUACUGCGCAUCAAGGUGAAACCGCAUCUUUCUUUGCAUCUUUACUGGUAAAGUUGCUUCCUUUCUAUGUUUCUUUUGCUUACCUGAGAUGUUUGAUGGCGGAGUUACAAGCUUUCUCUGGUUUUCGAUGACACCAUCACUGGUUUCAUCAGAAGUAGAAACCCGUUACCUUUGUUUCUGUUCUCGUAUGUUCAUUCAGAAACAGAAACUCUCGGUUUGUUGCAAAAGGUCCUUUCUUUGGGUUGUCGAAAUUGCGGCUGGUUUGACAUGCUUGAUUUUUAUUUGCUGCCUGACUAUGAUGCCAUGCCAAUAUCUGUUUUAAAACUGUAUUUAGAGAAGUCCUUAGCUUUGAAUUUAAAGAGUGAAUCUCAGGUCUAACGAAUUUUUUUCUUCUGCUCAGAUUUCUGUUUUCUUUUCCCCGUUAGGUGUUCAGUGUUAUGUUGUGGUGAUAAGUCUAGGAAGCCUGGUGAAUAUUUGGGAUCAUUCUCCAUGUUAAUUUUAUCACAUGCUAACAGUUCGUUCCCUGCAAAAGUUGUCAAACAAAUCAGUGAAGAAGAUUAUUUGUGAAUGCAUCUUGCAACUGGGAGGGACUUGUAUGUUAAUCAUGCAUUUAGUAUUCAUUUCCUGGUUUGGGUCUGAUAUUCUGAAGGAUUAGAAUUUAGGAUGUGGACAAACAUGCAGGGCAUUCAGAUUAUGUAGCUUUGUUGCAUCUCCUGGGAAUGUUUAAGCUAUAUUUACUCAUUUUUUAUGAUUCUUUGCAUAAACUCCUCGCCUGGGCUCUGUAAGGUGUUCGGAAAAUGCAUGUUUUGGCCCCUCUCUAUCCCCGAAAUCCCUUGUUUGUUUGUCUAGGUGUGCAUUCAUGGUGAACAUAGUGAAUCUUGGGCUGUAAAAUUUUCUGCUUUUCUUGAUAAAGCUGCGGCAAUGUUGUCAUUAGAAAAUGCAGAAGUUUGCGACUUGUUUCCUGAUUUGUUUGGGUCAGAGUUUAGCGUGAAUGUAGAUCAUUUCUGAUGUUUUUUGAAACUGAAAGUUUGUUGGAAACUCAUGGUAUGAAAUUGCUGAAGUUACCAAGUUAUUUAAAAGUUCCUACUUUCAAAAACACAGCAAGCAAAAGCUACCGCAUUUUUUCUUUCUUUUCUCUGCCGCGUUUCCUUUCCUUUGGUUGCUAGUUGAGUUUUGCACUUCAGUUUCAUGUUUGAUCUUGUGUUGGAGGGAAGCAAUGGAAGGUUGGAUGUUGAGGCUGCAUAUUUGCAUGUUUGGACCAUGAUUGAACACUUUGCUGAAAAGCAAACAAGCAAGCUGCCGAAACCAUUUCUGCAUGAAUUUUAGAAGUUUGGCAUGAUAUAUUUCCAUGUUUUCUGGUCAUCUGGAUUGUGAUCAUUAUGUAGCCUGUUACUUGGUUUAGGAUUGGGAUGUUGGGUUGGAAAACAUCCAACCAAAGCCAUGUAGCUGAAUCAAAAUCUGAUGAAAGCUUCAUGCGUGAAUCGCAGAAGUAAAGAAGGCUUUAGCCUUUCAUUGCAUGCAUGGAAUAUUUCCAAUAAUUCCAUUAUGACCUCUUGAUUAUUGCUUAACUCUAUCAUGGCCCGAAGAAUUGGACAAGUUAAUCAUUUUGGUCCAUUUAAAGAUCAAUUUGUUUUUUUUGUUAUUUGAUUUCAUAUGAUUUUUGAGUUGAUCAUUGGUGAAUUUUAUAUGCAUUUUUGAAGUUUAAUAAAUUUCGAUAGAUCCAUGGUUUCGACUUGGAGUUUAAUAAACUUUGGGAAAUUUUCAUUGUGUCAUCGUAGUAAAUUAGUUAUCACUUAUGUUUGUGAAUUUUAGUAUUUGAUUUGUAGAUCUCACCAUGAGCCUUUGAUUUUUAUCUAAUUGCUUUUGGGACCCAUAAUAUUUGAAAUAAUGAUGCCUCCAGUUUCUUUUACUUCUUUUAAUUGAGUUCUUGUUUAUUUCAAUUUGAUGAAUAGGGGUCACUCACUUUUAUUUGAAUGUUCUGUUUGAAAUUUCAUGUUUAUUUCCAUUUCAUAUGAUUAUUUGAUAAUUUCAGUGGUACCUUGACCUAUUUAUUAUUUUGGAGGGUAAAUUAGUAAUUUCACUACGUUAGAGCUCCAACUCAAGGGAGGUAUAACUUCUUUUAUCUUUUUUGUCUCUCCUAUGUGAACCAACGUGCUACGUGAGAAAUACAUGUCUACUUUGCUUUCCUAGCCUUUCUUUAAUUUCUUUUAUUUAUGUCAUUUACUUUUGCUUUUUAUUUAAGUUAUUCUUUAUGGGGUAUGUGUACACCUCUUGGCUUGUAAUAGUUAGGGAUUUAAUUAUUUUAUUCCUUUUCCCCCUUUUAGAUUGUAGUAGGGUCUCCCUAAUGUAAUAGAUAGGGCUUGGAGGAGCAUUCAAUGAAGACCUAUCGAAGUCAUGUGCCUAGCUAGCAAAUGUAAUAGUUAGGGCUUUAAUUGUCUUAUGUGUCUUGCAUGCUUAGUUACUACGUGUUAAUUUGCUUUGUUAGGGCCUUGCAUCUAGUCGAGCAUGCUAAAUGUUAUGUGCUAUGUGUUUAUAAGUGUUUGGCAUGUCUACUCGCUUUCCAUAACCUGAAUGAAUGUGAUGGAUGAAUGUACGUUUCCACUAGUCCAACGCUAGUCGGAAUUCAUAGAAUGGGCUAGUCCAACGCUAGACCCUUAGGGAUUUCCCCUCGUUAGUACAUGUUUGCAUGUUCAUUACAUGUCAUGCAUUCUUUUUAGUUUUAUCAUUUUGCAUGCCCCUCGAACCCCUUUUCCCUCCAUUUUAGGAUUUUUGCAUUUCAUGCUAGUUAUAGGGUUCAUUUGCUUGAGAGUCCCCUUAAAUAUGGGAUAUAGACGAGUGUGGCUUUUUCUAAGCCUUAGCACGCUUGUAUUCCCUCUAUAAAAGGGCAAAUUGAGUCACGAUUUAGGUCUCCCCGUAC